rnacentral:lncRNA from 1 species
CCUCUAAGGUUUUACCUUCUACAAAGCUAUAGCACCUACAGGUGAUCCGCUUUUUCUUCUUCUAGAUCCCCCUGUGUGUGUAUAAUCUUCUUCUAGAUCCCCCUGUGUGUGUGUAUAAUCGACAGACAUUGUCCUUCUAAUUUCUUUUUCCAGUAGAUGAUUGUGGACAAAGUUUCCAAUCCAUGCCUUUUUGCUAUACUAAUUUUUUUGGGUGAUGCAGCAUAAGUUAUAUAAUUGCUGCACUUAAGUAACUGAUUUAUCUGGCAAUAGAUUGUCACAAUGAUAGCUCUAACCUUUGUGCCAACAGUCUGAAAAUUGUAGCAUUAUGCUUUAAUAUUUUUUAAUGUUCUUUAGGUGGUUGUUUCUCAGAUGUAGUACACUUGGCAUAGCUUUUCAGAAGACAACAGUUCAGUAGGAAGCAAGUGAAUGAAACAUUUUCGUUGUUUUCUACUCCAUAGUUAUGUACAAACACACAAGUGGUGCUUAAACAUUUUGUUGCUAUUUAUCCUUUCAUGAGCCGGAUGUGCCAUUGACGGCGGUGGCAAGCCUGGAUUAGUUGGAUUCAGAAGGUGGAUUGAAUUACCAAGUUGUUUUACCACCAUGAUAUUUUUUUAAAAUUUUGAACAUUUCUUCAAUUUGUGAAUAAAUUUUAAAAAACACUUUCUUGCAUUUCUUAAUAAAUUUUCAAAAUCAUGCGAUGAAAUGUGAACAAAAUAUGGUCAUAGCUAUUGAAGAUUAUGAUUUUUUUUCUCCCGUUGCAACGCACGGGCCCUUUUGCUAGUAUUAUUUAAAAAAUGUCGUGCACACAACGUUUCUUGGCCGAUAUGCACAUGACACUCUACUUGAGUGGGGUAGAAGUGCUGGCCAACUGCAUCCGAUGGUUGCCACAGCGUGUCGACCAUAAAUCAGACACAGUUUUGUGGUUCUCAUGGCACUGUUCUAUUAUUUUCUCCCUUCCCCUCUCAUCUUCUUGAUUUUGAAUAGUUUAUAUAUUAAUUCAAGCUCAGCCUUACCUUCAAGCCUUAAAAUUAUUGUUCUGCCAGGUUUAGACAGAGCUGGUGGACAGGAAGCCAAUGGGCUACAUUUUAGCUCUUUAAUUUGUUCAUGCUUGUCUUAUGCUGAUAAGUUUUUUCUUCCUUUGUUUCCUAGGAAAAAGUAAUCAAACAAUCCCACUCGCAACUGCAACAUAGCAUUAGUUACACACGAACGCUCAUCCCCUCUUGAAAAUUUCCAAUUAGUUUAGUACUACCUUUUUAUGCAGGUAAACAAUCUGUUGAUUGUGUGUAGGAUAAGCUUUGACGUGUGUUGGGCGUUGUGUUGAAAUAGAGGACAUGGACGCGUUGUUGUGUGUGGGAGACGAGGGUGUGUGUGUUUGGCGUACAGGCCUAUGAUAUAUUUUAUUUUUCCCGUUGCAAUGCACGGGCAUGUUUCCUAGUCCCUAAUAAUAAAGCACGAAUUGACUCCAUGGGUUCAUCGUCACAAUACGCUUUCUUCAUAUGAAUUUACGCUUUUAGUUUAAAUUUAAAACAUAUACGCGAGGUGGUACUAAAGCGUUGAUAGAUUUCGCUCGGAUCGUUCGGCACCAAGAAAACGAAUGAAACAACCCAUCGAGAAAAGGCCAAGCGAAGAAACAGCCCAUAUCAACCGGGGAGCCUCUCCACCGUCAUGUUCCACAUGGGCACGCAGUUGAACUGGUACUUGACGCCGGUGAACGAUGAGAAGCCGAAGUAGGCCCGCUUGCCGAGGAGCACUGCCGAGAGGUCCAGCGGCGCAUCGAGCAAGGCCACGCCAUGGCGACGUACGCCCGCGCGCGCCGCGACGCACCGUCGUAGUUGACCUAGACCAUGUAGAAGCCGUCGUUGACCGUGGUGUCGAUGGGAGCGAGCUGGAUGCCGAAGGGCGUGAGCGAGGUGGCGUGGGUGCAGCGGACGCCGUUCACGUCGAGGCCGACGUGGUUGUCAUCGAGGUUGUAGGGCUGCUUCACCCUGUCCAGCUCCACGACCGCGAACCCGUUGGCGGGGUUGCCGUCCAUGGACGCGUUGGUGAGGCCUAGGUACCCGCCGUGGCUGCCGGGGGGCAGGCCGCCGCCGCCGUUGCUGGACGCGACGGCGAACGCGAGGCCUUCGCCCUUCCUUGUCGCGUUGGUGCGGUAGAGGUUGAUCCGGAACACGGUGGAGAAGGAGGCGACGUACCUGCCACCGGCAGGUUCAGAGGCCCACAAGACGAACGGGGAGGAGAGGAAGACGCUGCCGGUCUGGUUGACGAGGAAGUUGUUGGGCCCGCUGGCGCUGUUGCUAUCCGGGGUGAUCUGGAGCGUGUUCUGGGUGACGCUGGAGUUGCUGGCGAAGGUCAGGUUGGCGGGAAGCAGCACCAGCACCAUGACCACCAGGGGUCACCGUUGCAAACGCCGCGAGGAGCCCAGGACAUCUCGCUAGACGCCGGGGAGGAGGAUUCCGGAAAGGCUCCCCGGGCUUCCUCUCGCUGGAGGCAAAGCCAGGCAACUGCCGGCCUUCUAUUUCACUCUCUGCUGCAUCUUGUUUUGGCUGGCGGUGGUCGUCAUCGGUGUGACCGUGCUCACCGUGUACCUCGUCUACCGCCCGCAGCCGCCGAAGCUCCGGUGACGGAUGCGUCCCUGAACACCGGGUACGUGGACGAGCUGACCGUCCCCAGCGGCCCGGCCCACGGCCUCGCGCUCAACGCCGACCCUCACCGCCCUGGUCGCCAUCACACAGCCAGUAUCGAUCAACGAUUCGUUGGUUUAUCCUGGUUGCGAAAGUUUGAUCAACCCUUCCACUAUCGUGCAUCCAUAGAAUAGUCCCACCUCGCUUCAUUAGAUCGAAUCAGUCCAGUUUAUAUACAUGUUGCUUAGCAAAUCAACAAGCAAGCUUGGAAAUCAAACAAGUAGAGAGCAAGAAUAGGGAUUGGUGUGUCCAGAUGGCGAGCUCCGGCGGAGGCUGGGUGAUGCAGCGAGGCGGGAUGUGUGCUGCCGCGGCAGCGAGCGAGCGAGCAGGGGGCAAAGGUCAAUGGGGGGAGGCCCGAGGGGGAGGCCGGAUGUGUGCCGCGGCAGCGAGCGAGCAGGGGGCAAAGGUCAACGGACGGACGGAGCAAGAUGGAGAGGGAGGCGUGCGGGUGCGGGGGAGAGAGAAGUUGAGCAGCAAACUAGCCUGAUCAAGUCUCACACGUUGGUAGCUCACCUGAAACGGUGUCCAAAAAAAAGGUUUACCAGAGACCAACCCUGAAUUGCAUUGGAAUAAUUUCUUAAAUAUUUGUUUGUUCUUAUCAUUUUAAUCUUAAAAUAAGAUUAAAGUGCUUGUGCACAAUGGGGUGGAGCAUUUCCAGAAUGGUCAAAAACUCAGUUUGGCCACAGAGUACUUUAAAGCAAUCUAGGGACAGCCUGCCCCCUCCUUGAACACAGUGGAUGUGCACUCCCUAUACACUCCGCUUGAUUUAUCUGCCCUGACGGCACAGUUUUCCUGGGCUGAAAUCGUGCAAGCCAUUAGUGGCUCACCCAAUAACAAAAGCCCGGGACCUGACGGUUUCACCAACGAGUUUUACAAGACUUUCAAGCUGCUGCUAAAGGAUGACCUGUUCCAUUUUUUAGGAUUUCGACAAAACUGAAGUUGAUAUUGCUGGUAUUAACUCUACUCUCAUCACCCUGCUACCCAAAAAGGAUACGCCCUUGGAGAUGUGGGAUUUCAGACCUAUUUCUCUCGUACACAGUAUACCCAAGCUGGUUUCUAAGGUUCUGGCAGGCAGACUGAAAACUUGGAUCCCUCUCUUGAUUCACUCCCUCCAGUCUGGCUUCUUGCGGAGCAGAUCGAUCAUAGAAAAUUUUACCCUGGCUGCCGAAAUGAUCCAAUAUGCAUACAAACGGAAAUUGCCGGUCAUUGCUCUGAAGUUGGACUUCCAUAAAGCUUUUGACAGUGUCAGUUGGUCCUGUUUACACAAAGUACUUGAAGCCAGAGGUUUUCCUCAGUUGUGGAUUAGUUGGAUUCAUACGCUUUUGUCAACUGGCAGCUCUAAAGUCCUUCUUAAUGGCGAGAUGGAUGCUCCCAUCCGGGCUAAGCGAGGGUUUCGGCAAGGCGACUCCUUAUCCCCUUACCUCUUCAUUAUUGUUACAGACGUACUGCAGAGAAUGUGCUGCCAUUUGUUCCAGGAUGGCUCCCUGGUUCACCCACUCGGUUCGGACAGUUUCUUCCCGGUUCUGCAAUACGCGGAUGACACGCUGAUCCUUUUUCAAGGCACUACGCAGCAGGCUGCAGUUGUUAAGUCAGCCCUCACAGCUUUCUGUGCGUUUUCUGGGCUCACCAUAAAUUUCCACAAGAGCACUCUCGUACCUGUUGCUGUGGACUCCAGCACCGCUUCGGCCAUUGCCCAGAUCCUAGGCUGCCCCGUUUCAUCCUUUCCAUGCAACUACCUGGGUCUGCCUCUCUCUCUGCACAAAAUUACGCACGGUAUGUUACUGCCUAUUAUACACAAGGUUGACCGUCGUCUUUUAGGCUGGUUAGCUACCUUCUUAUCCUUAGGGGGUAGACUGACUCUCAUCAACUUAGUUCUCACUGGUAUACCAAGCUACUUCAUGUCAUGCUUUGCUUGGCCCAAGGAGUCUCUGGGGAAAUUAGAAAGUCUCUUACGUGCUUUCUUCUCGCAAGGCAAGAACAAAGUCAAGGGUGGCCAAUGCCUAGUGGCUUGGGAUACAGUAUCGUUGCCUCGUAUCAAUGGAGGGUUGGGAAUCCGUCAGCUGCAAGCUCACAAUCAAGCUAUGAUGUGCAAGUUUGUCUCCAAAGUUGUACAAGGUUCAGACAUACCAUGUUAUAACUGGUUUGCCACACAUUACUGCCGGGCUGUUCUUCCACAACGUGCUAGUAGCAGAGACACUACCAUCUGGAAAGGGUUCAGAGAUCUCGUUCCUAUGGUCAUCAACUCCUCUAAAUGUGUUCUGGGGUCUGGGCUUUUGAUUUCCUUCUGGAAGGACCAAUGUCUAGAAGUGGGCCGUUUAUGCCAGCUCUUCCCGACGUUGUAUUCCUUCGCGGCACAGCCAGCUUGCUCAGUACAAUCACAGCAUUCUAAUGGUUCAUGGGCUAUUCAGCUCCACCCUAAUCUCUCACAAACGGCCUCAACUGAGCUAGCUGCCCUGCAGGUUUUGUUGAUGGGCAUUGCUCCAAACUAACUGCAUGAGGACAAACGGUCUGCUUCUGUGAGCUCAGGACAGCUUUGCACUGGAUACUUCUACAGGCUACUCACCUUCCUAGGGGUUUUGACAACCUUUCACACUUGGGUUUGGGAUGUGGUGAUCCCCCUCAAACACAGAAUCUUCCUAUGGCUUGCUUUCCGUGGCCGCCUAAACACUAAGGAUAACAUGGUAAAGAAAGGCUGGUCGGAGGCUGCCCCGUUUGCACAUUGUGACAGUUGCCCCGCUGUUGAGUCAAUCGAUCACUUACUACUACGCUGUGCACCUGCCAGCGUUCUUUGGGGCAAGAUGGAGCUGGACGUUUUGGCUUGCUCGGCUACUAAUGUUCUUUCUUUUGUGGAGCAAGCACAACACCAGAUCAGUUUCAGGCACAAAUGGAAUGUGGCUUUCGCGGCUUGUGCUAUUGCCUUGUGGCAUGCUAGGAAUGACAGAGUCUUCAACUCCAAAAUCUGGUCUGUAACAUAUACAUGCCUUUAUGCAGCAGACAUGCUCCGUCUUUGGAGUUUCAGAACUCCAAAUCAGCGCACCAGGGAGGUUCUCCAGGUUUGGAGACAAAAGCUACUGCAUAGUGUGUAGACGAAUGAUGUAAUCCUUCUCCCCUCCCUUCCCCUUCCUCUUCCUCUUCCUUCCUCUUUUCUUCUUUCAGCCUGCUUGUAUGUUGCACCUUGGUGCACCAAACAAGUUGUACUUGUACUGAUACUUGUUACUUCAUCAGGCUCUGGCCUAUUUUGAAAUAUAAGGUCGGCAGCCUGCCACCUUCUUUGUUUCAUUUUGUUCCAAACAGUGAUUUCACUUUUUUGACUCAUCAUUUUGUGUUGUUCAACUGUCUUGGAUUGGCUUGCUUCUAAUCGAUACCUUAAUAAACACACCAGCUACAACGCUUUCAGAUACAGUAUGUGAGACCAACUGAUUUUACUUUUUUCAUUUGUUGGAGACGUACUUUAAGGCUAGAGGGACAUCAAGCUCGGAGACAUCAACUCUGAUUCUUGAAGUGUAUGGAGGCUGCCUUUGUAGGACAAAACUACCAUGGAUGCUUUUAUUAAACUAGAUGAUACCCCGCACGUUGUUGCGGGAAUAUUUGCAAUACAUUUCGAUGAUAUGUGAUUUCUAUGGAACGUGAAUAGUGAUACUACAAAAACUAAAAUUGCAAAUCCAUAUGCUUUAUUGUGUUUGAUUAAUGUAUUGUAAAAUAUCUAAUAUAUGUUUGCAUGUUGAGGUGGACAUUUUCAUGUGCAUGAAUGCAUGUUGUGAUGGGCCUUUUGUCAUGCAUGUUGCUUGAUGAUGUGGCAUACUUGCAUGUUGAGAGAAAUAUGUUAGUGGGGGCUAGCUAUUUAGAUAUAGAAGAUUAGGCCAUGUUGACAUCGUAGCCCUUUUAGUUUCAAUUGCAUUUUAAAAGUCCUUAUCUCAUUUUAGUAUAUAAUUUCAAAGUUUUUUUAUCUCUACUGUGAGUCUUGAAAACGUGUUCAUUUAGUAGGAGGAUGAGUCCAUGCGGGGAUAAUACUUUUUCAUCGGUUGCAACGCAGGGGCAUAUUUUAAUUAUUGUAAUCUAUCCUAUAAUAAUAAAGCACGGAUUGACUCCGUGGGUUCACCGUCACAAUACGCUUCUUUCCGUGAAUUUACGCUUUCAGUUUUUUCACCUAUAUUAUUUUCUACAUCCGAGGUGGUACUAUCCACCAUCGCAAACUUCGUGGCUGGCCUCCUUAUCUUCCUUUCAUACGUCGUGUGCUUGGUUUCCGGAAAUCAAUCGCUACGUAUGGGCCGGCCCAGUUAAUUAGGAGCCACGGCUGAUCGCAUGACUAAGCAGCCAGCGACGCACGGCUGAUCAUUUGUAAUAUACGUGGCAUAGGGGUGCCCUGAUCGUAUGUAAUAUACAAUGCAUCAAGCCAAGCACACGACGGCUGGGCCGUCGGCAUAGGUGCCCACGUGUCAGUUACUGGGAUCUCUGCUUGAAGGACUAUGCCGACGGCCUGGCCGUCGACUUAGUUUCAAACUAUGACGACGGGCCAGCCGUCGGCAUAGCCCUGGUCCACGAGAAGCGGCUGGUCGCCACGUGGCACCCCUAUGCCGACGGUCUAGCCGUCGGCACAGUUUUUGAUUAAGCCGACGGCGACGCCGUCGGCAUAGGUGCUCACGUGUCAGCUACUGGGAGCUCACGCUAGCCCUAUGCCGACGGCCUAGCCGUCGGCAUAGUUUGCUUUUGCUUUUUUUUUCUUUUUUCUGUUUGUUUUCAAAUCAAUUCAAUUCAAAUAGCAGCACAUAUCAGCAGAUAUAUAUAUGAUGGGAUAGACAUAUAAAACACAACAGGAUAUCAUCCGGCACCAUCACAACAAUAUAUGCAUAAGCAUCAUCACACACAAGUCUCUAAAUGAACAUCAUCACAACCAACAUAAGCAUAAGCAUAUAGAGAAGCACACAAGUCAUCUAAAUGAUCAUCACCACACACAAGUCAUCUCAAGCAUCAUCACCACACAAGGAUCAUCAAGCACCGCGGAGGUCGUCGCCGCCAAGACGGCCAAAGCCCAGGUCGUCACUGCUAGCGGCAGCGCUACCGCCUCCGCCCCCACCUCCUCCUCCGCCUCCGUGGACCGGAGUGGUCGGGCUCCGUGUCUCCAGAGUGCUGCGAAGACCACCGCCAACGGUAGAUCCACCUGUUCCCUGCAUGUUGAAAAGACAUAUGCACGGGAUCUAUGACUGUGUUGAAAGGCAUGACAUGCUUUGGGUGAAUAGAUUGUGGAUGAAUUAUUCGGCGAGGGGCCAGCGUUCUGUGCCACAAACUCCUCAAAGCUCAUCAACACUGGUUGUGCUGGAGGGCAUUGUGCUGGAGGGAACUGAGGACACCUGCCGGCCGCCAUAUGCGGAAAAGCCUGCUGCAUCUGGCUAUCCCUCUGCACUUGGUGUUCAUAAAGCCUCUGAUGCCAUGCCAUGGUCUCCUGGCGUGUGUACUCCAGGUAGGCCUACGGUAUGACAUGAUGGAACUCAUAAAACUACUAAAUGCGGAAAAUGAAGUGAAAAAUGAAGACAAGAGGGAAAAUACUUACAGAUUGUUGCUCCUGAAAGAGGGACUGUGUACUGGUCACUGGCUGGCUCGUGCGCUGGCUCAGGCUCGGGUCGAUCCGACGAAGCUGUGUGUAGGAGAUACUAGGAGUCAUCACAGCAUCGAGAACUGCGUCCCGACCGUGCUCCUUGGGCCCCAUCCUCACCACCGCCAUGUCGUCCAGAGGCGCCGCAAUGGGGUCAGGUGUGUCAGGAUGUAACUCCAGAUACGCUUCGGAGUAGGCCUUCUUCCUCCCUGCGGUCUUCUUGCCAUAGUACUUGGGCUCGCCAGGCUUGGGGUCCUUUCGCGUAUGGGCGAUCUCCCACGCCUGCAUGUGUGAGAGCGGCCGCUUCAGUUUCUCCUCCUGCACCACCAAACAGAGGUUAGUCAUACAUAAGAAAGUGAUGGUAAAUAGAAGAAGAAGAAUGUUUAAUGGGGUUAGUCAUACAUUAACUGCCUUGUGGAGAUAGUGGUUUCGGUUUCCCUGAGCAUGUACUCCCUCCGUCCCUCGAUUACCUUAUUUUGGGUUCUCAUAGCCGCCCAGGCUCCAGCCUCAUCACACCAAAGAUCCACCAAUGCCGCCCAGGACUCGUCUUUUCCAUAACACCAAUUUGGACACACCUACAUAAUAAAAGCAUAAUGGCAUGUAGGUGUGUCCAAAUUGGUGUUAUGGAAGCAUAAAGCAUAAUGUACCACAAGGUAAUGAAAGCAUAAUGAAAAAUCUUUUAUACUUACCGCCAAGAACUCGGGCCUCUCCAAGGUAAUGCCCAUCCUCCACGCUUCUUCCUUGGUCAUCUUCACACCAAGAUAGUCGUGGUAGUAUGUGGAGAUGGCCACAUAGCGCACCUCGUACUGCAUCUGGCGGGCCUUCUUCUUGCAUUGGCGCAGCACGAUCUGGUCCGCUCUAGCCCUGUGCUCCGGAAGAACUCGAUAGAAUUUCUACAAUCAUGCAUGAAACAAGAAUGGGAGAAGCCAUGAGUUAAAUCAUUCAUGAAACUAGAAUGGACUUGUGCUUCUGAAGAGAACUCACCCAGAAAGUAGUGAUCACGGCCUUGGCAUGGGUCUCAUGGUCCGCGUGGCGGGCCGCUUCCCAGUGGUCCCAGCUCGUGGCCAAAACCCGACGGUCCGGCUGCCUGACUGGAUCAGGACAGUACAACCUCGGCCAAUAUAACUUCAGCAAGACGGCGAUGAGGCCGUUGGGAAUACGGACCCCUUUAGAAUAUAUCCAGUUGCUGCAAAAGAAUGAACUAUUAGCAUGUGACAAGAAAAAUAAAUAACAACCGGAAUAAGCAUGUGACAAGCAACAUAAUGAACCACUUACUCUUUUCCCGUGGGCUCAAUGAGCCACUUCUGCUCCUUAGUAGCAGGAACCUGCUUUGGUAGCUUUGCGUUGCCACGCAGCCACCCCUUCGUGUCAACCCCCUUCCCGUCACCACCAUCAUCCCCGCCACCACCCUCCUCCUCGCUUGCCUCCCCCUCCCCAACCUCCGCCCCAACCUCCUCCUCCUCCUCCUCGCCCGCCUCCUCCUCCACCACCUCCUCCUCCUCCUCCUCCUCCCUAGAGUGUACCUCACUAGAGGAGGGUACCUCACUAGAGGAGGGUACCUCACUAGAGGAGGGCCUCGAAGACAACACCCCUAAGUCGGUGAGGGUGCGCUGUUUCUGGCCGCGACCCCCUGUAGUGGCUCUCCCCCCAGCACCUCGUCCUCUAGAGGCUCUCCCCCCGCCCCCUCCUCCUCUAGGGGCACCUCUCCCUCGACCUCCCCGUGAGGAGUCAUCGUCAAGUAGCCGAGGGGGAGGAUUACGUGCUCGACCCAUAUGAAUCAUCACUGUUGUAACCUCUUUCUCGGUCCGUCUCAUCAUCACUAUCAAUCAUAUCAUCUUUGUUGUCCGACAGAGGUGGAGGCUCUUCCUCGUCAUCAGCGUCUUCGUUUAACUUUUCUAGCAUAAGUAUGUCAUUUUCAUUGACAAUGGUCUCACCAUCAUUCCGUGCAUCGUCGACGUUUGGGUCCACAUCAUCAUCACCCAAUGGUCUAGCGUCAUCGUUUCUAACCACAUCAUCAUCAUCAUCAUCAUCAGGUUGCUCUUGAUAGAACACUCCCUCAUAUGUCAUGGGGUUAAUGUUGCAGUAAUCGUCUUCAUUCGGGUCUGGUAGCUUACCAUGUGGCGACACCUUGAACACAACUUCCCAACCCUUUAGAUACACUUUCUGGCAUGGGUAAGGCAGAUAAUAUACUUGUGUAGCUUGGGUAGCCGCAAUGAAGAGAUCGGCUCCGGCAUAGAUGGUUGAUGGUUUAAGUUCGACCAAACCAAUGGAAGGCGUAUGUUGUACCCCCUCCCGCAGAUCGAACCAUCGGCAUUUGAACACAGGCAGACUUAGGGUCUCACGCCCCUGGCGGAAUUUAACCUCGUAUAUAUUUUGUACCCUUCCGUAGUAGUCUACUUCAUUUUGACCGGGGGUGUACACUCCAGUAUUUAUAGUUUUGGGAUCGGGGCGGCUGUUUUGGUGCUCCUCUGUAUGGAAGCGAUACCCAUUCACAUCAUACUUUUUACAUGUCAUGACGGCAGGGUCAAAACCCAUGGAAACCCAUCUCAAUUCAUCAUCCAUAGAUAUGUUUGGAUCUUUUCCCUAAAAGUAUAAUGGAAAUUGUUGCGUGCAUUAGUUCGGUUAACUAAUAAAUGUUGAAGUAGGUAUUUAAUAGGGGAGUGUGGAAAAUUACUUUGUCCAUGAACCAAGCAACAAAAUUUUUACGUCCAGGGUUUCCAUGACGGAGAAGAGUAAGUGCCUCCGCCUCAGUAGGAGGAUUCACUCCCAUCCAUUCCUCUUGAACGAAAUCACUAAAAAAAGAUAAGCGGUGUUAGACCGGGACUAAGUGAACAUGAAACAUGAUGAUGUGGAUGACAUAAAGGAAUGGUGUAGUGGUAUUACCUCAUCCACACUUCCUCAACUUCCUUGAUGUUGUGCAAGAUAUAGAACAUGAGGUCCUCCCACUCUUGUCGUGGCAUGUUAUAAGAUUUCGAGGCCCCAGCCCUCCCACCUUGCACGUUGAAUAGAUCGAGUCUGGGUUGAUACUUGGGCUCUUCUAUAUUGUAUCGAGGCACCUUGUUAUGCAGAUGGGGAACGUGGUCUGGAUAGUAUGAUGUCCUGAGGUCUGACACCUCCUCUAGGAUAACUGCCUCAGCUAUGGAAGCUUCAAUCUUAGCUUUGUUUCCACAUUUCCGUCGGAGAUGCUUAUUCUGCCUCUCAGGGCCAUACUGCCAGCGAUUUUGCACAGGGCCCCCCAACAAUACCUCGUUCGCGAGGUGCAGAAUGAGAUGUGUCAUCGGAGUAAAGAAGCCUGGCGGAAAGAUCUUCUCUAGCUUGACUAUCAACUCCGGUGCCUUCUUAUGCAAUUUUUCAAUCACCUCUUUACUUACUUCUUUAGCACAGAGCGUGCGGAAGAAAUGGCUAAGCUCGGCAAGCACUCGCCAGACAUGCUCGGGGACAUAGCCUCGAACCAUCACCGGCAUUAUCCGCUCAAUCCAUACAUGGUAGUCAUGACUCUUCAGGCCGGUCACUUUGCCCGUUGAAAGAUUGACUCCCUUACUUAUAUUCGAUGCAUAACCAUCGGUGAACUUCAAAAUUUGUUUCAACCAGAUAAGUACUUUUUUCUGGCGGUUUAAGGACAAAGUCAGCAUCUGGCUUGAACCAGUUUUUUCGACCGCUUGUGGGAGGCUUCAUGUUCAGGCGUGGUCUAUCACAAAUUCUCUGUUGAUCGGCUCUAGCUUUUACGUUAUCCUUCGUAUUAUCAGGAAUGUUGAGGAUCGUGUGGAAAAGGGACUCUGCCACAUUCUUUUCGGUGUGCAUCACAUCAAUAUUGUAAGGAAGUUUGAGGUCCUUGAAAUAGGGAAGCUGCGAGAAGGGGGUAAUGUGCGUCCAGUUGUGCGUCUCACCAUAUCCCUCGAAGCCUUUGGCUUUGGCUUUGCCUUUGCCUUUGACUUUAGGCUUGAGAGCUUUUAGCUGAGCAAGAACAUCUGCCCCCGAAAAUGUUGGAAUCUCGGUUACUUCAUGAACAACCCGGCCUUUCGUGAAGUUCUUCUUGUCUUCCCUGUCUGGAUGGUCUGGAGGGAGGAACUGUCGAUGCAGGUCAAAGGCUACAUACUUGCCACCCUUACUCAGCCAAAUCAUUCGCAGAGCCUGCAUGCACACUGGGCAUGGCAUCUUACCACUUGUACACCAUCCUCAGAAUAGAGCAUAGCCGGGAAAGUCAUGCAUGCAAUAGUGCAACCAAACUUUCAUCAAGAAAUUUCUCUGCAGAUCCCGGUCGUAUGUCAACCUCGGAAAGUACCAAGAAUGGUGCAAAGCAUCCACAAGCGGCUGCAUAAACACACCCAAUUGCUUCCCCGGGUAGUCAGGCCCCGGAAUGAUGAGCGACAAGAACAUGGUCUUCCAUUGCAUUAGGGCACCGGGAGGAAGAUUGAGCGGAAUUACAAACACAUGCCAGCAGCUGUAUGGAUUGGACGACAUACCAUAUGGAUUCAACCCAUCACCUGAUAUGGCUAUUCUGACAUUCCCAGCCUCGGCUGCUUCCUCAGGGUAUUCUUCAUCGAAUGACUUCCAUGCUUCCCCUCCCGAUGGACGUAUGAUUUUUUUUGGAUUGUACCUUAUACCUUCCUUGUGCCACUUCAUCAUUUUGGCAGACUCCUUCGUGAUGAAAAGGCGCUGCAGUCUUUUUAUAAAAUCAAGAUACCGAAGAACCUUAACGGGGAUGGUUAGCUGCUUUUUCUCACCAUCCUCACCGACCACCUCAAUGUACCGAGACGAACUGCACUUCCUACAGUACUUGUCAUCCGCAUACUCGUGCCUAAACAAAAGGCAAUUCUUCGGGCAAACAUCUAUUUUCUCAUAAUCCAUAGAGAGUGCCUUCAUGAUUUUCUUUGUAUCGUACAUGCUUUUCGGCAGUUCAUGACCCUCAGGGAGGCUGUUAGCCCAUACUCCCAGGAAUGCUUCGAAGCAUUUCUGGCUACAGCUGUACUCAGCCUUGACUGCAAUCAGUUGCGAGAUGGCAUCCAGCUGAGAUAUUUUCGCACCCGCAUAAAGAGGUUUCUUCGACGAGGCCAAGACCUCCAAGAAGGCCUUUGCGGUUGCCUCCGGCUCCUCCGGUUCAUUCUCUGAAGGUGUCGCAUUUGCCGUUUCUGCAACAAUGACAUCAUCUAGCAUGUCCCUGACCCCGUCGUCCUCAUAUCCAUCGAUGCGUUGUCGCAUCACCUCCUCUCUACCACGGUCCUGCUCGGCUAUGUUUAUCGGCGGCAUGUCAAAGUUUGGCAUAUAUCCGUACGUGCGAAGGUGCUCACUCAUGUCCGUCUGAUUUCUACGGUGACGUCUGGCACAUCUCGCACAGGGGCAUGGUGGGAUAAUUCUCAUUGGGCGACGGAAUAUCUCCUUCAAAUAGACAUCAGUUUUCGCAAUCCACUCUGAUGUUACUCGAUUCCGACCGAUAAAACCACUGUACAUCCACUGAUUAUCUGCCAUCCUCCGCUUUUUUGCAACCCACACAACAUAAUUAAGGACUCACUUAAAUUAAUCACAUCAAAUUUUCAGUUUCUACCGCGUUUAAUCCACCUACAUCUCUAAUAGGUAAAGAUGGGUCCUAAUCCCACCUGAGGAUGUGUAGAUUGAGUACGUUCUCCAUUCUACCCCGUUCCGAGACAAAAUUUCGGCAGCACCUCCCCGCUGUUCUCCAGAUACACGUCUCGGCAAAUUGCCGAGAGAAUGUGCUCCAGAGAACAAUGGGGAGGCGCCGCCAAAAUCCUGUCUCGAAACGGGGUAGAACAUGGAGAACAUACCCAAUCUACACAUCUUCGGGCUGUCCGUGGAAAAUGCUGGACAAUCCGAAAGAGCUGCGGUGAUAAAUAUGCAAUUGAAUGCAUAUUUAUCGAUGCAAACCUUUCGGACGGGAGACGCCUAGGGUACGCCAGUUGACUUGAAAAUGAAAUCUAGUGACAUGAUUAAAAGAGCGUAGGAGGUGUAGGUGGAUUCGUAGCUCACCCUCGGCUGUAGAGGAAGUAGUCGAACAGAGGAGGGACGAUCCUUGACCAACAACUCCGAUGACGAUCACUCCACUUGUCAAAAACUCAGUUUGGCCAUAGAGUACUUUAAAGCAAUCUUGGGACAGCCUGCCCCCUCCUUGAACACAGUGGAUGUGCACUCCCUAUACACUCCGCUUGAUUUAUCUACCCUGACGGCACAGUUUUCCUGGGCUGAAAUCGUGCAAGCCAUUAGUGGCUCACCCAAUAACAGAAGCCCGGGACCUGACGGUUUCACCAACGAGUUUUACAAGACUUUCAAGCUGCUGCUAAAGGAUGACCUGUUCCAUUUUUUUAGGAUUUCCACAAAACUGAAGUUGAUAUUGCUGGUAUUUACUCUGCUCUCAUCACCCUGCUACCCAAAAAGGAUACGCCCUUGGAGAUGUGGGAUUUCAGACCUAUUUCUCUCGUACACAGUAUACCCAAGCUGGUUUCUAAGGUUCUGGCAGGCAGACUGAAAACUUGGAUCCCUCUCUUGAUUCACUCCCUCCAGUCUGGCUUCUUGCGGAGCAGAUCGAUCAUAGAAAAUUUUACCCUGGCUGCCGAAAUGAUCCAAUAUGCAUACAAACGGAAAUUGCCGGUCAUUGCUCUGAAGUUGGACUUCCAUAAAGCUUUUGACAGUGUCAGUUGGUCCUGUUUACACAAAGUACUUGAAGCCAGAGGUUUUCCUCAGUUGUGGAUUAGUUGGAUUCAUACGCUUUUGUCAACUGGCAGCUCUAAAGUCCUUCUUAAUGGCGAGAUGGAUGCUCCCAUCCGGGCUAAGCGAGGGUUUCGGCAAGGCGACUCCUUAUCCCCUUACCUCUUCAUUAUUGUUACAGACGUACUGCAGAGAAUGUGCUGCCAUUUGUUCCAGGAUGGCUCCCUGGUUCACCCACUCGGUUCGGACAGUUUCUUCCCGGUUCUGCAAUACGCGGAUGACACGCUGAUCCUUUUUCAAGGCACUACGCAGCAGGCUGCAGUUGUUAAGUCAGCCCUCACAGCUUUCUGUGCGUUUUCUGGGCUCACCAUAAAUUUCCACAAGAGCACUCUCGUACCUGUUGCUGUGGACUCCAGCACCGCUUCGGCCAUUGCCCAGAUCCUAGGCUGCCCCGUUUCAUCCUUUCCAUGCAACUACCUGGGUCUGCCUCUCUCUCUGCACAAAAUUACGCACGGUAUGUUACUGCCUAUUAUACACAAGGUUGACCGUCGUCUUUUAGGCUGGUUAGCUACCUUCUUAUCCUUAGGGGGUAGACUGACUCUCAUCAACUUAGUUCUCACUGGUAUACCAAGCUACUUCAUGUCAUGCUUUGCUUGGCCCAAGGAGUCUCUGGGGAAAUUAGAAAGUCUCUUACGUGCUUUCUUCUGGCAAGGCAAGAACAAAGUCAAGGGUGGCCAAUGCCUAGUGGCUUGGGAUACAGUAUCGUUGCCUCGUAUCAAUGGAGGGUUGGGAAUCCGUCAGCUGCAAGCUCACAAUCAAGCUAUGAUGUGCAAGUUUGUCUCCAAAGUUCUACAAGGUUCAGACAUACCAUGUUAUAACUGGUUUGCCACACAUUACUGUCGGGCUGUUCUUCCACAACGUGCUAGUAGCAGAGACACUACCAUCUGGAAAGGGUUCAGAGAUCUCGUUCCUAUGGUCAUCAACUCCUCUAAAUGUGUUCUGGGAUCUGGGCUUUUGAUUUCCUUCUGGAAGGACCAAUGGCUAGAAGUGGGCCGUUUAUGCCAGCUCUUCCCGACGUUGUAUUCCUUCGCGGCACAGCCAGCUUGCUCAGUACAAUCACAGCAUUCUAAUGGUUCAUGGGCUAUUCAGCUCCACCCUAAUCUCUCACAAACAGCCUCAACUGAGCUAGCUGCCCUGCAGGUUUUGUUGAUGGGCAUUGCUCCAAACUUACUGCAUGAGGACAAACGGUCUGCUUCUGUGAGCUCAGGACAGCUUUGCACUGGAUACUUCUACAGGCUACUCACCUUCCUAGGGGUUUUGACAACCUUUCACACUUGGGUUUGGGAUGUGGUGAUCCCCCUCAAACACAGAAUCUUCCUAAGGCUUGCUUUCCGUGGCCGCCUAAACACUAAGGAUAACAUGGUAAAGAAAGGCUGGUCGGAGGCUGCCCCGUUUGCACAUUGUGACAGUUGCCCCGCUGUUGAGUCAAUCGAUCACUUACUACUAUGUUGUGCACCUGCCAGCGUUCUUUGGGGCAAGAUGGAGCUGGACGUUCUGGCUUGCUCGGCUACUAAUGUUCUUUCUUUUGUGGAGCAAGCACAACACCAGAUCAGUUUCAGGCACAAAUGGAAUGUGGCUUUCGCGGCUUGUGCUAUUGCCUUGUGGCAUGCUAGGAAUGACAGAGUCUUCAACUCCAAAAUCUGGUCUGUAACAUAUACAUGCCUUUAUGCAGCAGACAUGCUCCGUCUUUGGAGUUUCAGAACUCCAAAUCAGCGCACCAGGGAGGUUCUCCAGGUUUGGAGACAAAAGCUGCUGCAUAGUGUGUAGACGAAUGAUGUAAUCCUUCUCCCCUCCCUUCCCCUUCCUCUUCCUCUUCCUUCCUCUUUUCUUCUUUCAGCCUGCUUGUAUGUUGCACCUUGGUGCACCAAACAAGCUGUACUUGUACUGAUACUUGUUACUUCAUCAGGCUCUGGCCUGUUUUGAAAUAUAAGGUCGGCAGCCUGCUACCUUCUUUGUUUCAUUUUGUUCCAAACAGUGAUUUCACUUUUUUGACUCAUCAUUUUGUGUUGUUCAACUGUCUUGGAUUGGCUUGCUUCUAAUCGAUACCUUAAUAAACACACCAGCUACAACGCUUUCAGAUACAGUAUGUGAGACCAACUGAUUUUACUUUUUUCAUUUGUUGGAGACGUACUUUAAGGCUAGAGGGACAUCAAGCUCGGAGACAGCAACUCUUAUGCUUGAAGUGUAUGGAGGCUGCCUUUGUAGGACAAAACUACCGUGGAUGCUUUUAUUAAACGAGAUGAUACCCCGCACGUUGUUGCGGGAAUAUUUGCAAUACAUUUCGAUGAUAUGUGAUUUCUAUGGAACGUGAAUAGUGAUACUACAAAAACUAAAAUUGCAAAUCCAUAUGCUUUAUUGUGUUUGAUUAAUGUAUUGUAAAAUAUCUAAUAUAUGUUUGCAUGUUGAGGUGGACAUUUUCAUGUGCAUGAAUGCAUGUUGUGAUGGGCCUUUUGCCAUGCAUGUUGCUUGAUGAUGUGACAUACUUGCAUGUUGAGAGAAAUAUGUUAGUGGGGGCUAGCUAUUUAGAUAUAGAAGAUUAGGCCAUGUUGACAUCGUAGCCCUUUUAGUUUCAAUUGCAUUUUAAAAGUCCUUAUCUCAUUUUAGUAUAUAAUUUCAAAGUUUUUUUAUCUCUACUGUGAGUCUUGAAAACGUGUUCAUUUAGUAGGAGGAUGAGUCCAUGCGGGGAUAAUACUUUUUCACCGGUUGCAACGCACGGGCAUAUUUUAAUUGUUGUAAUCUAUCCCUAUAAUAAUAAAGCACGGAUUGACUCCGUGGGUUCACCGUCACAAUACGCUUCUUUCCGUGAAUUUACGCUUUCAGUUUUUUCACCUAUAUUAUUUUCUACAUCCGAGGUGGUACUAUCCACCAUCGCAAACUUCGUGGCUGGCCUCCUUAUCUUCGUUUCAUACGUCGUGUGCUUGGUUUCCGGAAAUCAAUCGCUACGUAUGGGCCGGCCCAGUUAAUUAGGAGCCACGGCUGAUCGCAUGACUAAGCAGCCAGCGACGCACGGCUGAUCAUAUGUAAUAUACGUGGCAUAGGGGUGCCCUGAUCGUAUGUAAUAUACAAUGCACCAAGCCAAGCACACGACGGCUGGGCCGUCGGCAUAGGUGCCCACGUGUCAGUUACUGGGAUCUCUGCUUGAAGGACUAUGCCGACGGCCUGGCCGUCGACUUAGUUUCAAACUAUGACGACGGGCCAGCCGUCGGCAUAGCCCUGGUCCACGAGAAGCGGCUGGUCGCCACGUGGCACCCCUAUGCCGACGGUCUAGCCGUCGGCACAGUUUUUGACUAAGCCGACGGCGACGCCGUCGGCAUAGGUGCUCAUGUGUCAGCUACUGGGAGCUCACGCUAGCCCUAUGCCGACGGCCUAGCCGUCGGCAUAGUUUGCUUUUGCUUUUUUUUCUUUUUUCUGUUUGUUUUCAAAUCAAUUCAAUUCAAAUAGCAGCACAUAUCAGCAGAUAUAUAUAUGAUGGGAUAGACAUAUAAAACACAACAGGAUAUCAUCCGACACCAUCACAACAAUAUAUGCAUAAGCAUCAUCACACACAAGUCUCUAAAUGAACAUCAUCACAACCAACAUAAGCAUAAGCAUAUAGAGAAGCACACAAGUCAUCUAAAUGAUCAUCACCACACACAAGUCAUCUCAAGCAUCAUCACCACACAAGGAUCAUCAAGCACCGCGGAGGUCGUCACCGCCAAGACGGCCAAAGCCCAGGUCGUCACUGCUAGCGGCAGCGCUACCGCCUCUGCCCCCACCUCCUCCUCCACCUCCGUGGACCGGAGUGGUCGGGCUCCGUGUCUCCAGAGUGCUGCGAAGACCACCGCCAACGGUAGAUCCACCUGUUCCCUGCAUGUUGAAAAGACAUAUGCACGGGAUCUAUGACUGUGUUGAAAGGCAUGGCAUGCUUUGGGUGAAUAGAUUGUGGAUGAACUAACCGGCGAGGGGCCAGCGUUCUGUGCCACAAACUCCUCAAAGCUCAUCAGCACUGGUUGUGCUGGAGGGCAUUGUGCUGGAGGGACUAUGUACUGGUCACUGGCUGGCUCGUGCGCUGGCUCAGGCUCGGGUCGAUCCGACGAAGCUGUGUGUAGGAGAUACUAGGAGUGAUCACAGCAUCGAGAACUGCGUCCCGACCGUGCUCCUUGGGCCCCAUCCUCACCACCGCCAUGUCGUCCAGAGGCGCCGCAAUGGGGUCAGGUGUGUCAGGAUGUAACUCCAGAUACGCUUCGGAGUAGGCCUUCUUCCUCCCUGCGGUCUUCUUGCCAUAGUACUUGGGCUCGCCAGGCUUGGGAUCCUUUCGCGUAUGGGCGAUCUCCCACGCCUGCAUGUGUGAGAGCGGCCGCUUCAGUUUCUCCUCCUGCACCACCAAACAGAGGUUAGUCAUACAUAAGAAAGUGAUGGUAAAUAGAAGAAGAAGAAUGUUUAAUGGGGUUAGUCAUACAUUAACUGCCUUGUGGAGAUAGUGGUUUCGGUUUCCCUGAGCAUGUACUCCCUCCGUCCCUCGAUUAGCCUUAUUUUGGGUUCUCAUAGCCGCCCAGGCUCCAGCCUCAUCACACCAAAGAUCCACCAAUGCCGCCCAGGACUCGUCUUUUCCAUAACACCAAUUUGGACACACCUACAUAAUAAAAGCAUAAUGGCAUGUAGGUGUGUCCAAAUUGGUGUUAUGGAAGCAUAAAGCAUAAUGUACCACAAGGUAAUGAAAGCAUAAUGAAAAAUCUUUUAUACUUACUGCCAAGAACUCGGGCCUCUCCAAGGUAAUGCCCAUCCUCCGCGCUUCUUCCUUGGUCAUCUUCACACCAAGAUAGUCGUGGUAGUAUGUGGAGAUAGCCACAUAGCGCACCUCGUACUGCAUCUGGCGGGCCUUCUUCUUGCAUUGGCGCAGCACGAUCUGGUCCGCUCUAGCCCUGUGCUCUGGAAGAACUCGAUAGAAUUUCUACAAUCAUGCAUGAAACAAGAAUGGGAGAAGCCAUGAGUUAAAUCAUUCAUGAAACUAGAAUGGACUUGUGCUUCUGAAGAGAACUCACCCAGAAAGUAGUGAUCACGGCCUUGGCAUGGGUCUCAUGGUCCGCGUGGCGGGCCGCUUCCCAGUGGUCCCAGCUCGUGGCCAAAACCCGACGGUUCGGCUGCCUGACUGGAUCAGGAUAGUACAACCUCGGCCAAUAUAACUUCAGCAAGACGGUGAUGAGGCCGUUGGGAAUACAGACCCCUUUAGAAUAUAUCCAGUUGCUGCAAAAGAAUGAACUAUUAGCAUGUGACAAGAAAAAUAAAUAACAACCGGAAUAAGCAUGUGACAAGCAACAUAAUGAACCACUUACUCUUUUCCCGUGGGCUCAAUGAGCCACUUCUGCUCCUUAGUAGCAGGAACCUGCUUUGGUAGCUUUGCGUUGCCACGCAGCCACCCCUUCGUGUCAACCCCCUUCCCGUCACCACCAUCAUCCCCGCCACCACCCUCCUCCUCGCCUGCCUCCCCCUCCCCAACCUCCGCCCCAACCUCCUCCUCCUCCUCCUCGCCCGCCUCCUCCUCCACCACCUCCUCCUCCUCCUCCUCCUCCCUAGAGUGUACCUCACUAGAGGAGGGUACCUCACUAGAGGAGGGUACCUCACUAGAGGAGGGCCUCGAAGACAACACCCCUAAGNNNNNNNNNNNNNNNNNNNNNNNNNNNNNNNNNNNNNNNNNNNNNNNNNNNNNNNNNNNNNNNNNNNNNNNNNNNNNNNNNNNNNNNNNNNNNNNNNNNNNNNNNNNNNNNNNNNNNNNNNNNNNNNNNNNNNNNNNNNNNNNNNNNNNNNNNNNNNNNNNNNNNNNNNNNNNNNNNNNNNNNNNNNNNNNNNNNNNNNNNNNNNNNNNNNNNNNNNAGCCACCCCUUCGUGUCAACCCCCUUCCCGUCACCACCAUCAUCCCCGCCACCACCCUCCUCCUCGCUUGCCUCCCCCUCCCCAACCUCCGCCCCAACCUCCUCCUCCUCCUCCUCGCCCGCCUCCUCCUCCACCACCUCCUCCUCCUCCUCCUCCUCCCUAGAGUGUACCUCACUAGAGGAGGGUACCUCACUAGAGGAGGGUACCUCACUAGAGGAGGGCCUCGAAGACAACACCCCUAAGUCGGUGAGGGUGCGCUGUUUCUGGCCGCGACCCCCUGUAGUGGCUCUCCCCCCAGCACCUCGUCCUCUAGAGGCUCUCCCCCCGCCCCCUCCUCCUCUAGGGGCACCUCUCCCUCGACCUCCCCGUGAGGAGUCAUCGUCAAGUAGCCGAGGGGGAGGAUUACGUGCUCGACCCAUAUGAAUCAUCACUGUUGUAACCUCUUUCUCGGUGCUCGACCCAGAGGUGGAGGCUCUUCCUCGUCAUCAGCGUCUUCGUUUAACUUUUCUAGCAUAAGUAUGUCAUUUUCAUUGACAAUGGUCUCACCAUCAUUCCGUGCAUCGUCGACGUUUGGGUCCACAUCAUCAUCACCCAAUGGUCUAGCGUCAUCGUUUCUAACCACAUCAUCAUCAUCAUCAUCAUCAGGUUGCUCUUGAUAGAACACUCCCUCGUAUGUCAUGGGGUUAAUGUUGCAGUAAUCGUCUUCAUUCGGGUCUGGUAGCUUACCAUGUGGAGACACCUUGAACACAACUUCCCAACCCUUUAGAUACACUUUCUGGCAUGGGUAAGGCAGAUAAUAUACUUGUGUAGCUUGGGUAGCCGCAAUGAAGAGAUCGGCUCCGGCAUAGACGGUUGAUGGUUUAACUUCAACCAAACCAAUGGAAGCCGUAUGUUUUACCCCCUCCCGCAGAUCGAACCAUCGGCAUUUGAACACAUGCAGACUUAGGGUCUCACGCCCCUGGCGGAAUUUAACCUCGUAUAUAUUUUGUACCCUUCCGUAGUAGUCUACUUCAUUUUGACCGGGGGUGUACACUCCAGUAUUUAUAGUUUUGGGAUCGGGGCGGCUGUUUUGGUGCUCCUCUGUAUGGAAGCGAUACCCAUUCACAUCAUACUUUUUACAUGUCAUGACGGCAGGGUCAAAACCCAUGGAAACCCAUCUCAAUUCAUCAUCCAUAGAUAUGUUCGGAUCUUUUCCCUAAAAGUAUAAUGGAAAUUGUUGCAUGCAUUAGUUCGGUUAACUAAUAAAUGUUGAAGUAGGUAUUUAAUAGGGGAGUGUGGAAAAUUACUUUGUCCAUGAACCAAGCAACAAAAUUUUUACGUCCAGGGUUUCCAUGACGGAGAAGAGUAAGUGCCUCCGCCUCAGUAGGAGGAUUCACUCCCGUCCAUUCCUCUUGAAUGAAAUCACUAAAAAAAGAUAAGCGGUGUUAGACCGGGACUAAGUGAACAUGAAACAUGAUGAUGUGGAUGACAUAAAGGAAUGGUGUAGUGGAAUUACCUCAUCCACACUUCCUCAACUUCCUUGAUGUUGUGCAAGAUAUAGAACAUGAGGUCCUCCCACUCUUGUCGUGGAAUGUUAUAAGAUUUCGAGGCCCCAGCCCUCCCACCUUGCGCGUUGAAUAGAUCGAGUCUGGGUUGAUACUUGGGCUCUUCUAUAUUGUAUCGAGGCACCUUGUUAUGCAGAUGGGGAACGUGGUCUGGAUAGUAUGAUGUCCUGAGGUCUGACACCUCCUCUAGGAUAACUGCCUCAGCUAUGGAAGCUUCAAUCUUAGCUUUGUUUCCACAUUUCCGUCGGAGAUGCUUAUUCUGCCUCUCAGGGCCGUACUGCCAGCGAUUUUGCACAGGGCCCCCCAACAAUACCUCGUUCGCGAGGUGCAGAAUGAGAUGUGUCAUCGGAGUAAAGAAGCCUGGCGGAAAGAUCUUCUCUAGCUUGACUAUCAACUCCGGUGCCUUCUUAUGCAAUUUUUCAAUCACCUCUUUACUUACUUCUUUAGCACAGAGCGUGCGGAAGAAAUGGCUAAGCUCGGCAAGCACUCGCCAGACAUGCUCGGGGACAUAGCCUCGAACCAUCACCGGCAUUAUCCGCUCAAUCCAUACAUGGUAGUCAUGACUCUUCAGGCCGGUCACUUUGCCCGUUGAAAGAUUGACUCCCUUACUUAUAUUCGAUGCAUAACCAUCGGUGAACUUCAAAAUUUGUUUCAACCAGAUAAGUACUUUUUUCUGGCGGUUUAAGGACAAAGUCAGCAUCUGGCUUGAACCAGUUUUUUCGACCGCUUGUGGGAGGCUUCAUGUUCAGGCGUGGUCUAUCACAAAUUCUCUGUUGAUCGGCUCUAGCUUUUACGUUAUCCUUCGUAUUAUCAGGAAUGUUGAGGAUCGUGUGGAAAAGGGACUCUGCCACAUUCUUUUCGGUGUGCAUCACAUCAAUAUUGUAAGGAAGUUUGAGGUCCUUGAAAUAGGGAAGCUGCGAGAAGGGGGUAAUGUGCGUCCAGUUGUGCGUCUCACCAUAUCCCUCGAAGCCUUUGGCUUUGGCUUUGCCUUUGCCUUUGACUUUAGGCUUGAGAGCUUUUAGCUGAGCAAGAACAUCUGCCCCCGAAAAUGUUGGAAUCUCGGUUACUUCAUGAACAACCCGGCCUUUCGUGAAGUUCUUCUUGUCUUCCCUGUCUGGAUGGUCUGGAGGGAGGAACUGUCGAUGCAGGUCAAAGGCUACAUACUUGCCACCCUUACUCAGCCAAAUCAUUCGCAGAGCCUGCAUGCACACUGGGCAUGGCAUCUUACCACUUGUACACCAUCCGCAGAAUAGAGCAUAGCCGGGAAAGUCAUGCAUGCAAUAGUGCAACCAAACUUUCAUCAAGAAAUUUCUCUGCAGAUCCCGGUCGUAUGUCAACCUCGGAAAGUACCAAGAAUGGUGCAAAGCAUCCACAAGCGGCUGCAUAAACACACCCAAUUGCUUCCCCGGGUAGUCAGGCCCCGGAAUGAUGAGCGACAAGAACAUGGUCUUCCGUUGCAUUAGGGCACCGGGAGGAAGAUUGAGCGGAAUUACAAACACAGGCCAGCAGCUGUAUGGAUUGGACGACAUACCAUAUGGAUUCAACCCAUCACCUGAUAUGGCUAUUCUGACAUUCCCAGCCUCGGCUGCUUCCUCGGGGUAUUCUUCAUCGAAUGACUUCCAUGCUUCCCCUCCCGAUGGACGUAUGAUUUUUUUGGAUUGUACCUUAUACCUUCCUUGUGCCACUUCAUCAUUUUGGCAGACUCCUUCGUGAUGAAAAGGCACUGCAGUCUUUUUAUAAAAUCAAGAUACCGAAGAACCUUAACGGGGAUGGUUAGCUGCUUUUUCUCACCAUCCUCACCGACCACCUCAAUGUACCGAGACGAACUGCACUUCCUACAGUACUUGUCAUCCGCAUACUCGUGCCUAAACAAAAGGCAAUUCUUCGGGCAAACAUCUAUUUUCUCAUAAUCCAUAGAGAGUGCCUUCAUGAUUUUCUUUGUAUCGUACAUGCUUUUCGGCAGUUCAUGACCCUCAGGGAGGAUGUUAGCCCAUACUCACAGGAAUGCUUCGAAGCAUUUCUGGCUACAGCUGUACUCAGCCUUGACUGCAAUCAGUUGUGAGAUGGCAUCCAGCUGAGAUAUUUUCGCACCCGCAUAAAGAGGUUUCUUCGACGAGGCCAAGACCUCCAAGAAGGCCUUUGCGGUUGCCUCCGGCUCCUCCGGUUCAUUCUCUGAAGGUGUCGCAUUUGCCGUUUCUGCAACAAUGACAUCAUCUAGCAUGUCCCUGACCCCGUCGUCCUCAUAUCCAUCGAUGCGUUGUCGCAUCACCUCCUCUCUACCACGGUCCUGCUCGGCUAUGUUUAUCAGCGGCAUGUCAAAGUUUGGCAUAUAUCCGUACGUGCGAAGGUGCUCACUCAUGUCCGUUUGAUUUCUACGGUGACGUCUGGCACAUCUCGCACAGGGGCAUGGUGGGAUAAUUCUCAUUGGGCGACGGAAUAUCUCCUUCAAAUAGACAUCGGUUUUCGCAAUCCACUCUGAUGUUACUCGAUUCCGACGGAUAAAACCACUGUACAUCCACUGAUUAUCUGCCGUCCUCUGCUUUUUUGCAACCCACACAACAUAAUUAAGGAUUCACUUAAAUUAAUCACAUCAAAUUUUCAGUUUCUACCGCGUUUAAUCCACCUACAUCUCUAAUAGGUAAAGAUGGGUCCUAAUCCCACCCGAGGAUGUGUAGAUUGAGUACGUUCUCCAUUCUACCCCGUUCUGAGACAAAAUUUCGGCAGCACCUCCCCGCUGUUCUCCAGAUACACGUCUCGGCAAAUUGCCGAGAGAAUGUGCUCCGGAGAACAAUGGGGAGGCGCCGCCAAAAUCCUUUCUCGAAACGGGGUAGAACAUGGAGAACAUACCCAAUCUACACAUCCUCGGGCUGUCCGUGGAAAACGCUGGACAAUCCGAAAGAGCUGCGAUGAUAAAUAUGCAAUUGAAUGCAUAUUUAUCGAUGCAAACCUUUCGGACGGGAGACACCUAGGGUACGCCAGUUGACUUGAAAAUGAAAUCUAGUGACAUGAUUAAAAGAGCGUAGGAGGUGUAGGUGGAUUCGUAGCUCACCCUCGGCUGUAGAGGAAGUAGUCGAACAGAGGAGGGACGAUCCUUGACCAACAACUCCGAUGACGAUCACUCCACUGACAUGAAACUCUACAAAACCUGCAAAUUCCAACGCGACAAAAAUUUAGAACAUCACAACUCAUAAAGCAUAUUCAUCAUCAACUCACAAAUUUAGGUGCAUUCAUUUAUUCUUGAAUCAUGUAGUGUUAUUUCAUCACAUAUUCAUCAUCAUCAUCACAACUAACAAUAUUAAAUAAAUAUUCAUCAUCAUCAUCAUCACAACUAACAAUAUCAACAAUAUAUUCAUCAUCAUUGUCUAUUCAUCAUCAUCAUCGAUUCAUCUCAUCGAACAAAAAAUUUAUCUAUUGAUCUAUCUAUUCAUCUGAUCUAACAAUCUAUCUAUCUAACAAUCUAUCUAUCUAUUGAUCUAUCUAUCGAUCUAUCUAUCUAUAUAUCUAACAAUCUAUCUAUCUAACAAUCUAUUCAUCUCAUCUCAUUUAUCAUCAUUUAUCUAUCUAUAUAUCUAUCUAUAUAUCUAACAAUCUAACAAUCUAUCUAUCUAACAAUCUAUCUAUCUAUCUAUCUAUAUAUCUAUCUAUCUAUAUAUCUAACAAUCUAUCUAUCUAAAAACAGAAAAAAAAGUGGAGGUCUCACCGGAGUGGCAGGGCCGGGGUGAGGCGGAGCCAGGCAGGGCCGGGGCGAGGAGGCGACCGAUGGGGCGACGCGGUGGUGGAGCGCGGGAUGGGGGCGAGGUGGCGGCCGGCGGGGCAGGGCAGGUCGGGGCGAGGUGGCGACGACGCGGAGGAGGGGGCNNNNNNNNNNNNNNNNNNNNNNNNNNNNNNNNNNNNNNNNNNNNNNNNNNNNNNNNNNNNNNNNNNNNNNNNNNNNNNNNNNNNNNNNNNNNNNNNNNNNNNNNNNNNNNNNNNNNNNNNNNNNNNNNNNNNNNNNNNNNNNNNNNNNNNNNNNNNNNNNNNNNNNNNNNNNNNNNNNNNNNNNNNNNNNNNNNNNNNNNNNNNNNNNNNNNNNNNNNNNNNNNNNNNNNNNNNNNNNNNNNNNNNNNNNNNNNNNNNNNNNNNNNNNNNNNNNNNNNNNNNNNNNNNNNNNNNNNNNNNNNNNNNNNNNNNNNNNNNNNNNNNNNNNNNNNNNNNNNNNNNNNNNNNNNNNNNNNNNNNNNNNNNNNNNNNNNNNNNNNNNNNNNNNNNNNNNNNNNNNNNNNNNNNNNNNNNNNNNNNNNNNNNNNNNNNNNNNNGGAGGGGGCGGAGCAACGCGAAGGAGGGGCGGAGGAGAGGGCGUCCGACGGAGGGGGUGGAGAUGGCGGCGGCCGGUGGCGGGGCGAGCGGCUAGGGAGGCGUCGACGGCGCGGAGAGGGUGGCGGCGGCGGUUGGCUGUCGAGGAGAGGGAGUUGGAUCGGGGUGCGAGGAGAGAAACGAGUGGAGGAGGAGGGCCGGGUCGAGGAUAAGGUGGCCCUAUGCCGACGGCUAGGCCGUCGGCAUAGGAGUGGCCCCACCUGACAGCGAGAGGGCAUUGAGUGGAUAAGGGUGGCUCUAUGCCGACGGCCAGGCCAUCGGCAUAGAUAGGAGGCCUAUGCCGACGGCUAUGCCGUAGGCAUAGAUGGAAACUACUUUCUUAUAAAAAAUUGUCCCACCUCGCCGAGGGAAAAGAAAUUAGACCUGUUUAAAUAGUUCACUAAUUCAAUUAUUACAUUUUUAGAUUCUUAGUUUACCGUCUGUAUGGGACCCGGUACCCCGCACCUGGAGGGGGGAAACGGACGCGUGGGGUCGCCGACGGCGCCGUCCGUGAGGGGGGGCACGCCCCGGACACGCGUCCCGCCUCUUCGGACAUGCCACUGUUGGGGAACGUAGUAAUUUCAAAAAAUUUCCUACGCACACGCAAGAUCAUGGUGAUGCAUAGCAACGAGAGGGGAGAGUGUUGUCUACAUACCAACGCAGACCGACUGCCGAAGCGAUCUCACAACGUAGAGGAAGUAGUCGUACGUCUUCUUCCCGAUCCGACCAAUCCAAGCACCGUUACUCCGGCACCUCCGAGUUCUUAGCACACGUUCAGCUCGAUGACGAUCCUCGGGCUCCGAUCCAGCAAAGCGUCGAGGAAGAGUUCCGUCAGCACGAUGGCGUGAUGACGAUCUUGAUGUUCUACCGACGCAGGGCUUCGCCUAAGCACUGUAACGAUAUGACCGAGGUGGAAUUUGGUGGCAGGGGGCACCGCACACGGCUAAGGAAAGAUCUCAAUGAUCAAUUGUGUGUCUAGAGGUGCCCCCUGCCCCCGUAUAUAAAGGGGCAAAGGGGGAGGGGUGCGGCAGCCAUAGGGGCGCGCCAGGAGGAGUCCUACUCCCGCCGGGAGUAGGACUCCCCCCCCCCCCCAAUCCUAGUCCAACCAGGAAUCCUCAAAAGGGAAAAGAGGAGGAGGUGGACGGCCCCCUCUCCUAGUCCUAAUAGGACUAGGGGGAGAGGGAGGCGCGCAGCCCAUCUAGGGCAGCCCUUUCUCUCUUCCACUAGGGCCCAUGUAGGCCCAUUUGGCUCCCGGGGGGUUCCGGUAACCUCCCGGUAAUCCGUUAAAAUUCCCGAUUUCACCCGGAACAAUUCCGAUGUCCAAAUAUAGGCUUCCAAUAUAUCAAUCUUUAUGUCUAGACCAUUUCGAGACUCCUCGUCAUGUCCGUGAUCACAUCCGGGACUCCAAACAACAUUCGGUACAUCAAAAUGCAUAAACUCAUAAUAACUGUCAUCGUAACGUUGAGCGUGCGGACCCUACGGUUCGAGAACAAUGUAGACAUGACCGAGACACGUCUCCGGUCAAUAACCAAUAGCGGGACCUGGAUGCCCAUAUUGGCUCCUACAUAUUCUACGAAGAUCUUUAUCGGUCAGACCGCAUAACAUACGUUGUUCCCUUUGUCAUCGGUAUGUUACUUGCCCGAGAUUCGAUCGUCGGUAUCCAAUACCUAGUUCAAUCUCGUUGCUGGCAAGUCUCUUUACUCGUUCUGUAAUGCAUCAUCCCGCAACUAACUUAUUAGUUGCAAUGCUUGCAAGGCUUAAGUGAUGUGCAUUACCGAGAGGGCCCAGAGAUACCUCUCCGACAAUUGGAGUGACAAAUCCUAAUCUCGAAAUACGCCAACCCAACAUUUACCAUUGGAGACACCUGUAGUACUCCUUUAUAAUCACCCAGUUACGUUGUGACGUUUGGUAGCACCCAAAGUGUUCCUCCGGCAAACGGGAGUUGCAUAAUCUCAUAGUCAUAGGAACAUGUAUAAGUCAUGAAGAAAGCAAUAGCAAAAUACUAAACGAUCGGGUGCUAAGCUAAUGGAAUGGGUCAUGUCAAUCAGAUCAUUCAACUAAUGAUGUGACCUCGUUAAUCAAAUAACAACUCUUUGUUCAUGGUUAGGAAACAUAACCAUCUUUGAUUAACGAGCUAGUCUAGUAGAGGCAUACUAUGACACUCUGGUUGUCUAUGUAUUCACACAUGUAUUAUGUUUCCGGUUAAUACAAUUCUAGCAUGAAUAAUAAACAUUUAUCAUGAUUUAAGGAAAUAAAUAAUAACUUUAUUAUUGCCUCUAGGGCAUAUUUCCUUCAGUCUCCCACUUGCACUAGAGUCAAUAAUCUAGAUUACACAGUAAUGAUUCUAACACCCAUGGAGUCUUGGUGCUGAUCAUGUUUUGCUCGUGGAAGAGGCUUAGUCAACGGGUCUGCAACAUUCAGAUCCGUAUGUAUCUUGCAAAUCUCUAUGUCUCCCACCUGGACUAGAUCCCGGAUGGAGUUGAAGCGUCUCUUGAUGUGUUUGGUCCUUUUGUGAAAUCUGGAUUCUUUGCCAAGGCAAUUGCACCAGUAUUGUCACAAAAGAUUUUCAUUGGACCCGAUGCACUAGGUAUGACAACUAGAUCGGAUAUGAACUCCUUCAUCCAGACUCCUUCGUUUGCUGCUUCCGAAGCAGCUAUGUACUCCGCUUCACAUGUAGAUCCCGCUACGACGCUUUGUUUAGAACUGCACCAACUGACAGCUCCACCGUUUAAUGUAAACACGUAUCCGGUUUGCGAUUUAGAAUCGUCCGGAUCAGUGUCAAAGCUUGCAUCAACGUAACCUCUUACGGUGAGCUCUUUGUCACCUCCAUAUACGAGAAACAUAUCCUUAGUCCUUUUCAGGUAUUUCAGGAUGUUCUUGACCGCUGUCCAGUGAUCCACUCCUGGAUUACUUUGGUACCUCCCUGCUAAACUUAUAGCAAGGCACACAUCUGGUCUGGUACAUAGCAUUGCAUACAUGAUAGAGCCUAUGGCUGAAGCAUAGGGAACAUCUUUCAUUUUCUCUCUAUCUUCUGCAGUGGUCGGGCUUUGAGUCUUACUCAAUCUCACACCUUGUAACACAGGCAAGUACCCUUUCUUUGCUUGAUCCAUUUUGAACUUUUUCAAAAUUUUGUCAAGGUAUGUGCUUUGUGAAAGUCCAAUUAAGCGUCUUGAUCUAUCUCUAUAGAUCUUUAUGCCUAAUAUGUAAGCAACUUCACCGAGGUCUUUCAUUGAAAAACUUCUAUUCAAGUAUCCCUUUAUGCUAUCCAGAAAUUCUAUAUCAUUUCCAAUCAGCAAUAUGUCAUCCACAUAUAAUAUCAGAAAUGCUACAGAGCUCCCACUCACUUUCUUGUAAAUACAGGCUUCUCCGAAAGUCUGUAUAAAACCAAAUGCUUUGAUCACACUAUCAAAACGUUUAUUCCAACUCCGAGAGGCUUGCACCAGUCCAUAAAUGGAUCGCUGGAGCUUGCACACUUUGUUAGCUCCCUUUGGAUCGACAAAACCUUCCGGUUGCAUCAUAUACAACUCUUCUUCCAGAAAUCCAUUCAGGAAUGCAGUUUUGACAUCCAUCUGCCAAAUCUCAUAAUCAUAAAACGCGGCAAUUGCUAACAUGAUUCAGACAGACUUAAGCAUCGCUACGGGUGAGAAAGUCUCAUCGUAGUCAAUCCCUUGAACUUGUCGAAAACCUUUUGUGACAAGUCGAGCUUUGUAGACAGUAACAUUACCAUCAGCGUCAGUCUUCUUCUUGAAGAUCCAUUUAUUCUCAAUUGCUUGCCGAUCAUCGGGCAAGUCAACCAAAGUCCAUACUUUGUUCUCAUACAUGGAUCCCAUCUCAGAUUUCAUGGCUUCAAGCCACUUUGCGGAUUCUGGGCUCACCAUCGCUUCUUCAUAGUUCGUAGGUUCAUCAUGAUCUAGUAGCAUGACUUCCAGAAUAGGAUUACCGUACCACUCUGGUGCGGAUCUCACUCUGGUUGAUCUAAGAGGUUCAGUAGUAUCUUGAUCUAAAGUUUCAUGAUCAUCAUCAUUGGCUUCCUCACUUAUUGGUGUAGGUAUCUCAGAAACAGUUUUCUGUGAUGUACUACUUUCCAACAAGGGAGUAGGUACAGUUACCUCGUCAAGUUCUACUUUUCUCCCACUCACUUCUUUCGAGAGAAACUCCUUCUCUAGAAAGUUUCCGAACUUGGCAACAAAAGUCUUGCCUUCGGAUCUGUGAUAGAAGGUGUAUCCAAUAGUUUCCUUUGGAUAUCCUAUGAAGACACAUUUCUCCGAUUUGGGUUUAAGCUUAUCAGGUUGAAGCUUUUUCACAUAAGCAUCGCAGCCCCAAACUUUCAGAAACGACAACUUUGGUUUCUUGCCAAACCACAGUUCAUAAGGCGUCGUCUCAACGGAUUUUGAUGGUGCCCUAUUUAACGUGAAUGCGGCCGUCUCUAGAGCGUAUCCCCAAAACGAUAGCGGUAAAUCAGUAAGAGACAUCAUAGAUCGCACCAUAUCUAGUAAAGUACGAUUACGACGUUCGGACACACCAUUACGCUGUGGUGUUUCGGGUGUCGUGAGUUGCGAAACUAUUCCACAAUUUUUCAAAUGUACACCAAACUCGUAACUCAAAUAUUCUCCUCCACGAUCAGAUCGUAGAAACUUUAUUUUCUUGUUACGAUGAUUUUCAACUUCACUCUGAAAUUCUUUGAACUUUUCAAAUGUUUCAGACUUGUGUUUCAUUAAGUAGAUAUACCCAUAUCUGCUUAAAUCAUCUGUGAAGGUGAGAAAAUAACGAUAUCCGCCACGAGCCUCAAUAUUCAUCGGACCACAUACAUCGGUAUGUAUGAUUUCCAACAAAUCUGUUGCUCUCUCCAUAGUACCGGAGAACGGUGUUUUAGUCAUCUUGCCCAUGAGGCACGGUUCGCAAGUACCAAGUGAUUCAUAAUCAAGUGGUUCCAAAAGUCCAUCAGUAUGGAGUUUCUUCAUGCGCUUUACACCGAUAUGACCUAAACGACAGUGCCACAAAUAAGUUGCACUUUCAUUAUCAACUCUGCAUCUUUUGGCUUCAAUAUUAUGAAUAUGUGUAUCACUACUAUCGAGAUUCAUCAAAAAUAGACCACUCUUCAAAGGUGCAUGACCAUAAAAGAUAUUACUCAUAUAAAUAGAACAACCAUUAUUCUCUGAUUUAAAUGAAUAACCGUCUCGCAUUAAACAAGAUCCAGAUAUAAUGUUCAUGCUCAACGCUGGCACCAAAUAACAAUUAUUUAGGUCUAAUAUUAAUCCCGAAGGUAGAUGUAGAGGUAGCGUGCCGACCGCGAUCACAUCGACUUUGGAACUGUUUCCCACGCGCAUCGUCACCUCGUCCUUUGCUAGUGUCCGCUUAUUCCGUAGUCCCUGUUUCGAGUUGCAAAUAUUAGCAACAGAACCAGUAUCAAAUACCCAGGUGCUACUGCGAGCUCUAGUAAGGUACACACCAAUAACAUGUAUAUCACAUAUACCUUUGUUCACCUUGCCAUCCUUCUUAUCCGCCAAAUACUUGGGGCAGUUCUGCUUCCAGUGACCAGUCUGCUUGCAGUAGAAGCACUCAGUUUCAGGCUUAGGUCCAGACUUGGGUUUCUUCUCUUGAGAAGCAACUUGCUUGCCGUUCUUCUUGAAGUUCCCCUUCUUCUUCCCUUUGCCCUUUUUCUUGAAACUAGUGGUUUUGUUAACCAUCAACACUUGAUGCUCCUUCUUGAUUUCUACCUCCGCAGUUUUCAGCAUUGCGAAGAGCUCGGGAAUAGUCUUGUUCAUCCCUUGCAUAUUAUAGUUCAUCAUGAAGCUCUUGUAGCUUGGUGGCAGUGAUUGGAGAAUUCUGUCAAUGACGCAAUCAUCCGAAAGAUUAACUCCCAAUUGAAUCAAGUGAUUAUUAUACCCAGACAUUUUGAGUAUAUGCUCACUGACAGAACUGUUCUCCUCCAUCUUGUAGCUAUAGAACUUAUUGGAGACUUCAUAUCUCUCAAUCCGGGCAUUUGCUUGAAAUAUUAACUUCAACUCCUGGAACAUCUCAUAUGCUCCAUGACGUUCAAAACGUCGUUGAAGUCCCGAUCCUAAGCCGUAAAGCAUGGCACACUGAACUAUCGAGUAGUCAUCAGCUUUGCUCUGCCAGACGUUCAUAACAUCUGGUGUUGCUCCAGCAGCAGGCCUGGCACCCAGCGGUGCUUCCAGGACGUAAUUUUUCUGUGCAGCAAUGAGGAUAAUCCUCAAGUUACGGACCCAGUCCAUGUAAUUGCUACCAUCAUCUUUCAACUUUGCUUUCUCAAGGAACGCAUUAAAAUUUAACGGAACAACAGCACGAGCCAUCUAUCUACAAUCAACAUAAACAAGCAAGAUACUAUCAGGUACUAAGUUUAUGAUAAGGUUAAGUUCAGUUAAUCAAAUUACUUAAGAACUCCCACUUAGAUAGACAUCCCUCUAAUCCUCUAAGUGAUCACGUGAUCCAAAUCAACUAAACCAUAACCGAUCAUCACGUGAGAUGGAGUAGUUUUCAAUGGUGAACAUUGUUAUGUUGAUCAUAUCUACUAUAUGAUUCACGCUCGACCUUUCGGUCUCUGUGUUCCGAGGCCAUAUCUGUAUAUGCUUGGCUCGUCAAGUAUAACCUGAGUAUUCCACGUGUGCAACUGUUUUGCACCCGUUGUAGUUGGACGUAGAGCUUAUCACACCCGAUCAUCACGUGGUGUCUGGGCACGACGAACUUUGGCAACGGUGCAUACUCAGGGAGAACACUUCUUGAUAAUUUAGUGAGAGAUCAUCUUAUAAUGCUACCGUCAAUCAAAGCAAGAUAAGAUGCAUAAAAAGAUAAACAUCACAUGCAAUCAAUAUAAGUGAUAUGAUAUGGCCAUCAUCAUCUUGUGCUUGUGAUCUCCAUCUCCGAAGCAUCGUCAUGAUCACCAUCGUCACCGGCGCGACACCUUGAUCUCCAUCGUAGCAUCGUUGUCGUCUCGCCAAUCUUAUGCUUCCACGACUAUCACUACCGCUUAGUAAUAAAGUAAAGCAUUACAUCGCGAUUGCAUUGCAUACAAUAAAGCGACAACCAUAUGGCUCCUGCCAGUUGCCGAUAACUCGGUUACAAAACAUGAUCAUCUCAUACAAUAAAAUUUAGCAUCAUGCCUUGACCAUAUCACAUCACAACAUGCCCUGCAAAAACAAGUUAGACGUCCUCUACUUUGUUGUUGCAAGUUUUACGUGGCUGCUACGGGCUUAAGCAAGAACUCAUCUUACCUACGCAUCAAAACCACAACGAUAGUUUGUCAAAUAGACUCCGUUUUAACCUUCUCAAGGACCGGGCGUAGUCACACUCGGUUCAACUAAAGUUGGAGAGACAGUCGCCCGCAAGCCAUCUAUGUGCAAAACACGUCGAGGGAACCGGUCUCGCGUAAGCGUACGCGUAAGGUUGGUCCGGGUCGUCUCGUCCAACAAUACCGCCGAACCAAAGUAUGACAUGCUGGUAGGCAGUAUGACUUGUAUCGCCCACAACUCACUUGUGUUCUACUCGUGCAAAUAACAUCAAACCAUAAAACCUAGGCUCGGAUGCCACUGUUGGGGAACGUAGUAAUUUCAAAAAAUUUCCUACGCACACGCAAGAUCAUGGUGAUGCAUAGCAACGAGAGGGGAGAGUGUUGUCUACGUACCAACGCAGACCGACUGCGGAAGCGAUCUCACAACGUAGAGGAAGUAGUCGUACGUCUUCUUCCCGAUCCGACCAAUCCAAGCACCGUUACUCCGGCACCUCCGAGUUCUUAGCACACGUUCAGCGCGAUGACGAUCCUCGGGCUCCGAUCCAGCAAAGCGUCGAGGAAGAGUUCCGUCAGCACGACGGCGUGAUGAUGAUCUUGAUGUUCUACCGACGCAGGGCUUCGCCUAAGCACUGUAACGAUAUGAUCGAGGUGGAAUUUGGUGGCAGGGGGCACCGCACACGCCUAAGGAAAGAUCUCAUUGAUCAAUUGUGUGUCUAGAGGUGCCCCCUGCCCCCGUAUAUAAAGGGGCAAAGGGGGAGGGGUGCGGCAGCCAUAGGGGCGCGCCAGGAGGAGUCCUACUCCCGCCGGGAGUAGGACUCCCCCCCCCCCCAAUCCUAGUCCAACCAGGAAUCCUCAAAAGGGAAAAGAGAAGGAGGUGGCCGGCCCCCUCUCCUAGUCCUAAUAGGACUAGGGGGAGAGGGAGGCGCACAGCCCAUCUAGGGCAGCCCUUUCUCUCCUCCACUAGGGCCCAUGUAGGCCCAUUUGGCUCCCGGGGGGUUCCGGUAACCUCCCGGUAAUCUGGUAAAAUUCCCGAUUUCACCCGGAACAAUUCCGAUGUCCAAAUAUAGGCUUCCAAUAUAUCAAUCUUUAUGUCUAGACCAUUUCGAGACUCCUCGUCAUGUCCGUGAUCACAUCCGGGACUCCGAACAACAUUCGGUUCAUCAAAAUGCAUAAACUCAUAAUAACUGUCAUCGUAACGUUAAGCGUGCGGACCCUACGGUUCGAGAACAAUGUAGACAUGACCGAGACACGUCUCCGGUCAAUAACCAAUAGCGGGACCUGGAUGCCCAUAUUGGCUCCUACAUAUUCUACGAAGAUCUUUAUCGGUCAGACCGCAUAACAUACGUUGUUCCCUUUGUCAUCGGUAUGUUACUUGCCCGAGAUUCGAUCGUCGGUAUCCAAUACCUAGUUCAAUCUUGUUGCUGGCAAGUCUCUUUACUCGUUCUGUAAUGCAUCAUCCCGCAACUAACUUAUUAGUUGCAAUGCUUGCAAGGCUUAAGUGAUGUGCAUUACCGAGAGGGCCCAGAGAUACCUCUCCGACAAUUGGAGUGACAAAUCCUAAUCUCGAAAUACGCCAACCCAACAUUUACCAUUGGAGACACCUGUAGUACUCCUUUAUAAUCACCCAGUUACGUUGUGACGUUUGGUAGCACCCAAAGUGUUCCUCCGGCAAACGGGAGUUGCAUAAUCUCAUAGUCAUAGGAACAUGUAUAAGUCAUGAAGAAAGCAAUAGCAACAUACUAAACAAUCGGGUGCUAAGCUAAUGGAAUGGGUCAUGUCAAUCAGAUCAUUCAACUAAUGAUGUGACCUCGUUAAUCAAAUAACAACUCUUUGUUCAUGGUUAGGAAACAUAACCAUCUUUGAUUAACGAGCUAGUCUAGUAGAGGCAUACUAGUGACACUCUGGUUGUCUAUGUAUUCACACAUGUAUUAUGUUUCCGGUUAAUACAAUUCUAGCAUGAAUAAUAAACAUUUAUCAUGAUUUAAGGAAAUAAAUAAUAACUUUAUUAUUGCCUCUAGGGCAUAUUUCCUUCAGCCACCACACCACCCCGCAUGUAUGAGGGCCCGGCGCGACGCUCCGGUGGCAUUGCUACCCCCCCCCCCCAGUGCCCCCGUCCCGCCUAACCCUGUAGCGUUUGACCACGGGAUCUAGCCCUUUGACUUUGCACGGACGGGUUUUGACCAGUGGACCUCCCCACCCGGUUGUGUUAGGUCAGCCUAUAGGAACACUUUGGAGCAACAUCCGGGCCAGACCCACAGCAAGAUCCCCUCCGUGUAGACCCCACGCGUCCGUUUCCCCCUCCUGGUGCCUGCGGCGGCGCCGUCCGUGAGGGGGGGCACACCCCGGACACGCGUGCCGGGCGUUUGCAACCGCCACAAUACUUCCAGACUUGUGAGAGGCCGCCUAUGCAAGAUUUGGCGGCAUGCUAGCCCCCGGAGGCCGCCAGCCACAGCCGUAGACGCGCGAAGGGCAAUCCGCGUAGAGGGAAUUUUUCGGAGACUUCUCCAUCACCAAAAAUUAUGAAAAAAUACCAUCGUUCCUAUAGCACAUGUGCCCGCGUCGUGCAAAAAAACUCAUGAUUUUAUCGCGCUUCGAGUAUUUAGUAAUAUUGACGCCGCAUUGUUACCGCAGAACGUCUACUACCGUGUCAUCGCCGUCCAUGAGGGGGGGCCAUGCCCCGGAGACGCGUCCCGCCUCUUCGGACAUGCCACCACACCACCCCGCAUGUAUGAGGGCCCGGUGCGAUGCUCCGGUGGCAUUGCUACCCCCCAGUGCCCCUGUCCCGCCUAACCCUGUAGCGUUUGACCACGGGAUCUAGCCCUUUGACUUUGCACGGACGGGCUUUGACCAGUGGACCUCCCCACCCGGUUGUGUUAGGUCAGCCCAUAGGAACACUUUGGAGCAACAUCCGGGCCAGACCCACAGCAAGAUCCCCUCCAUGUGGACCCCACGCGUCCGUUUCGCCCCUCCAGGUGCCGGCGGCGGCACCGUCCGUGAGGGGGGCACACCCCGGACACGCGUUCCGGGCGUUUGCAACCGCCACAACACUUCCAGACUUGUGAGUGGCCGCCUACGCAAGAUUUGGCGGCAUGCUAGCCCCCGGAGGCCGCCGGCCACAACCGUAGACGCGCGAAGGGCAAUCCGCGUAGAGGGAAUUUUUCGGAGACUUCUCCAUCACCAAAAAUUAUGAAAAAAUACCAUCGUUCCUAUAGCACAUGUGCCCGCGUCGUGCAAAAAAACUCAUGAUUUUAUCGCGCUCCGAGUAUUUAGUAAUAUUGACGCCGCAUCGUUACCGCAGAACGUCUACUACCGUGUCAUCGCCGUCCGUGAGGGGGGGCCACGCCCCGGACACGCGUCCCGCCUCUUCGGACAUGCCACCACACCACCCCGCAUGUAUGAGGGCCCGGUGCGACGCUCCGAUGGCAUUGCUACCCCCCAGUGCCCCCAUCCCGCCUAACCCUGUAGCGUUUGACCACGGGAUCUAGCCCUUUGACUUUGCACGGACGAGCUUUGACCAGUGGACAUCCCCAUCCGGUUGUGUUAGGUCAGCCCAUAGGAACACUUUGGAGCAACAUCCGGGCCAGACCCAUAGCAAGAUCCCCUCCGUGUAGACCCCACGCGUCCGUUUCCNNNNNNNNNNNNNNNNNNNNNNNNNNNNNNNNNNNNNNNNNNNNNNNNNNNNNNNNNNNNNNNNNNNNNNNNNNNNNNNNNNNNNNNNNNNNNNNNNNNNNNNNNNNNNNNNNNNNNNNNNNNNNNNNNNNNNNNNNNNNNNNNNNNNNNNNNNNNNNNNNNNNNNNNNNNNNNNNNNNNNNNNNNNNNNNNNNNNNNNNNNNNNNNNNNNNNNNNNNNNNNNNNNNNNNNNNNNNNNNNNNNNNNNNNNNNNNNNNNNNNNNNNNNNNNNNNNNNNNNNNNNNNNNNNNNNNNNNNNNNNNNNNNNNNNNNNNNNNNNNNNNNNNNNNNNNNNNNNNNNNNNNNNNNNNNGACACGCGUGCCGGGCGUUUGCAACUGCGACAACACUUCCAGACUUGUGAGAGGCUGCCGGCGCAAGAUUUGGCGGCAUGCUAGCCCCCGGAGGCCGCCGGCCACAGCCGUAGACGCGCGAAGGGCAAUCCGCGUAGAGGGAAUUUUUCGGAGACUUCUCCAUCACCAAAAAUUAUGAAAAAAUACCAUCGUUCCUAUAGCACAUGUGCCCACGUCGUGCAAAAAAAAUCAUGAUUUUAUUGCGCUCCGAGUAUUUAGUAAUAUUGACGCCGCAUCUUUACCGCAGAACGUCUACUACCGUGUCAUCGCCGUCCGUGAGGGGGGGCCACGCCCCGGAGACGCGUUCCGCAUCUUCAGACAUGCUACCACCCCACCCCGCAUGUAUGAGGGCCCGGUGCGACGCUCCGGUGGCAUUGAGGGCCAUGGGGGGACGGGGGCCCUGGGGGUAGCAAUGGCACCGGAGCGUCGCACCGGGACCUCAACCGUGAGGGGGGCACUCCCCUGAGCCACGUGUCGGGUGCCUGCGCCUGCCACCAUGCUUCCACAACCGUAGGAGGGCCCACCGCAACGCCUAGCGGCAUUGCUACCCCCAGGUACCCCGUCCCGUCUAACCCUGACAAAGACGACCGCUGGGUCUAGCCCUUUGACUUUCGCCGGACGGGGUUUGACCGGUGGACCUUUUCACCUGGUUUUCAUAGCCCAGCCCAUAGCUAGACCCCCCAACACCGUCCCGGCCCAACCCACCCCAAGAUUCCCUCCGUGUCGGCUCGACGUGGUCGUUUCCCCUCUCCGUGACACGGUGGCAGCGACGCCCGUGAGGGGGGCACACCCCGGAGCCGCGUGUCGGGUGCCUGAGCCUGCCACUAUGCUUCCACAACCGUAGUAGGGCCCACUACGACACCUCGCGACAUUGCUACCCCCCAGGUACACCGUCCCGUCUAACCCUGACACAGACNNNNNNNNNNNNNNNNNNNNNNNNNNNNNNNNNNNNNNNNNNNNNNNNNNNNNNNNNNNNNNNNNNNNNNNNNNNNNNNNNNNNNNNNNNNNNNNNNNNNNNNNNNNNNNNNNNNNNNNNNNNNNNNNNNNNNNNNNNNNNNNNNNNNNNNNNNNNNNNNNNNNNNNNNNNNNNNNNNNNNNNNNNNNNNNNNNNNNNNNNNNNNNNNNNNNNNNNNNNNNNNNNNNNNNNNNNNNNNNNNNNNNNNNNNNNNNNNNNNNNNNNNNNNNNNNNNNNNNNNNNNNNNNNNNNNNNNNNNNNNNNNNNNNNNNNNNNNNNNNNNNNNNNNNNNNNNNNNNNNNNNNNNNNNNNNNNNNNNNNNNNNNNNNNNNNNNNNNNNNNNNNNNNNNNNNNNNNNNNNNNNNNNNNNNNNNNNNNNNNNNNNNNNNNNNNNNNNNNNNNNNNNNNNNNNNNNNNNNNNNNNNNNNNNNNNNNNNNNNNNNNNNNNNNNNNNNNNNNNNNNNNNNNNNNNNNNNNNNNNNNNNNNNNNNNNNNNNNNNNNNNNNNNNNNNNNNNNNNNNNNNNNNNNNNNNNNNNNNNNNNNNNNNNNNNNNNNNNNNNNNNNNNNNNNNNNNNNNNNNNNNNNNNNNNAUCUAAUUAUUUUGAAAAAAAAAUAAAAAGGAAAAAGAGAAAAUAAAUAAAAUAUGAAAAAAAAAUUAGAAAUCUAUGCCUACGGCUAUGCCGUCGGCAUAGCUACAGCCACAGAAGGGUAGAGCCAUGGAUCGAUGAUGUGGCAUAUGGCGCGGAUCGAUGAUGUGGGACCGUCCAUGGGCCAAGCCUAUGCCGACGGCAAGGCUGUCGGCAUAGAUAUGCCACCCCACGGACGAGUGAGCGUUACGGAUCGUUGACGUGGCAGAUCACGCGGAUCGAUGACAUGGCAGAUAUGCCGACGGCGACCGUUAGGCCCCGUCGGCGUAGGCUUCACGCCGUCAAAGGAUGUCGCCGCCCGGGCAGUCGGGCACACAGAUAUGCCGAAGACAGCCUCUAUGCCGACGGCCGCCGUAGGCAUAUUUAUUGGGAUGCCGACAGCCCAUCUGUGCCGACGGCCCCUGUCGGCAUAGGUGGACGUAUGCCGAAGGCUUUUCUACGCUGACGGCCUGACCUGUGCCGUCGGAUAGAUCCGUUGAUGCCGACGGGGGCCGUCGGCAUAGAUUUGGCCGUCGGCAAUUGGGUAAAUUCUGGUAGUGACGUUGUUCGUUUUGUAGUACAAAAUCGCUUGCCUCUUUUUCCGUCGCCCCGCACAUCCCUUUUUCCAGAUCCGAGGUCAAGAUCGAAGUGUUCGGCAUCCAAACUCUUGCCCUCACAUACCUAUAUAUUACUUCAGCCAGGGCAGAAAACCAACUAUGCGCCCGAGAAUUCUGAGCAUAUGGCAGGCCUCGCCUGCGAUCCGUCCUCGCCUCCAUGACUCGCGCUGUCCCGGAUAACUCAUGUGCUCACGAUGCGAUCCGCCACCUCCGUACGAGCCCCAAUCACAAGAUCAUCGGCCCCUCUCACGCCUUCCACCAGUCGCACUUCGGGGAGAUGUCGUCCAAUCAGGAAGGAGGGGAUCGAUGAGAAGGUCGCGAGAGGUGGCACGGCUGGGGGAGGAAUUAUGCUUCCAUUGGUCCCUUCUGCAGGAGUGGAGGAGAAACAGGAAGCCAUCGAUUCGCCAUGCAGGUCGGGUAGCUGGCUAGAGCAAGCAUACCAAUGCAUGCAUGACCUAUGAACAUACAUGUAUGCAUGCGUGCGACCUCGCCGGCCUAGCCGAUGCAAACUUGCACAGCGGCACGGCCUCAUCCGUCACCACGGAAUCCGGUGAGCUCUCUCUUCCGCCGUUGCCACUGUCACCAUCACAAGGAUACACUCGAGGCGAUUAUUCCCCCGACAAGUACUCCUUCGACUCCCCCCGCCCCCCGCUCGCCUCGCCAUCUGCUGUCCGAGCUCGAGGAGGCUUCGGCGUCCUGCAUCGCUGUGUGCAGGAGAUCUCGGCACUCUGUGGUAAAUAAGGUCACCACCCUCGAGGCCACGUUGGGCACGAGGCAGCCUUCCUCGCCAAACUGAUCGGGUAUGCCUUUAGGCUCUAACAUGAGCUGAACGAGCUGAUGCUGCAAGCCUCAACAUGUCAGUGGACGUGACCAGGAUGGCCUACUUGUAGAAGGUCACGCACGUUAUGGAGCAAUGGAGUCCUGCGAAACAAGUGCAUACACAAUAGCCAUGCAUUGGUAAAACCUUUAUGCGUGAUAAUUAUGAUCAGAGAUCUAUGCAUGCGUCAAUGUACGGACUACUAUAUAUUUUCUUCACUUUUCGGUCAAAAAAUUGCACUGCACAAGAUAAAUCAUACAUGGCGGAUCAUCAAAGACACCAUGCUGAAGUAGCAGAGAAACCCACGUGGCCAGUUAAGAUGAAUUCUUAUAUUAACUCGAUCCACUCCAUACAGGUGAGAGAGCCCAAGAGGUUUUUUUAUAUAUGUAUGAUCAGUGGAGCAAUCUUUCCAUGUUGACUGUUUUUAACGAGGAUGCCCUAUAGUAAUUCAUUGUGUUGUUUGUUGACCACGGAUGCAAAUUGUUAAUAGGCUUAUAUUGAUAUUAUGAUGCAUAAAAAUAUUAAGUGGCUUGAUGCAUUGUAUAUUACAUACAACAAGGGUAGUUAGCUGCUCUUUCUUGCACAGUGAUUACUCGAUGGUGAUUGUCAUUUUUUGAUGUCUGGUUCUAUGAUUUUUUUAUCCUCAAUUAUGCCUUUCUCAGCGAUUUAACAUCUUUAUCACCUAUAGUUUCAAGAAGAAAAACUAUACCAGAAAUUGUUGACAAAUUAAUAUUUAAUGCAAACCUGCUACCCCCUCCAUCCACACAUAUAUAGGGCCUAAUGCAUUUUUCGAGAUUGUCUUUGACUAUUAAGAUUAAUUGUAUAUGAGAUGUAUAAUGUCAAAAUUAUAUCAUUGGAAGCACCUUUCAUGUACGUAUUUGAGAGUAUGCUUUGUCUAUAACUUGCAUAAUCAUAUAUUUUGGCUCUAACAUGCGGUCAAAGUUACAUCAAAAAUGCAUUAGACCCUAUAUAGAUGGAUGGAGGGAGUAUAUACAAUUGAGCAGUCACAAGGUGACCUUGAUUUGAAGGUGAACAAAUGACCUAGGGGCUCUUUUAUCCCGUUGCAACGCACGGGCUCUUUUGCUAGUUUUCUAUCCCUAAUAAUAAUAAUAAUAAUAAUAAUAAUAAUAAUAAUAAUAAUAAUAAUAAUAAUAAUAAUAAUAAUAUAUAAUGCACAGAUUGACUCCGUGGGUUCACCGUCACAAUACGCUUUUUUCCCAUGAAUUUACGCUUUCAAUUUAAAUUUGAAACAUAUUCAAGGUGGUACUAAAUUUCUGUCUCGGUAAUUCAACGAGGCGAAUUCUGCGCCGGUUCGCCAACUGGCGCGCUUGUAAUUGGGCCGGCCCGUUUUUCCUUUAUAUUUUUCAAACCCAAGUAAAAAAGGUAGUUAAUGCGUCAGAAGGGUUCGAACUCAGGAUCUCUUCGCGGAGACCGUAGGUGCACUAACCACUAGGACACUAACUCAUUUGUGCACAAAUACAUGUUACCUUCUUUUAUUCUUUCCCCGGUCGCGGUUCUUAUUCCUUAUUCCUUUUUCUGUUUUCUUCAUUGCACGAAUUUGGUUCAAUAAAACGUACGUGUCGUGUCAAAGUCAUGUACUACUACUAGAAAACCAAUUAAAUAAGAAAACAAAGAAACUCACGAUGAGGACUUCCAGUUGAACCUUCCUAACCCUCCCAUAUAUAUGAUGCCCGGGAUCGCGUGCUCUCCUAUACCUAGGCGAGACGCCGAGACCUCGCAUCGAGGAAGAGCAGCGCCGAGUUCGAGGAAGCACGAUGGGCGUCCUUGGUCUUCCUCCCGAUCGAGAUCGGCCACGGUGUUGCCCGAGGUCGUGUGCAUGACUUCCUUGAUCUCUCACGACGCGUAUGUUUGUUACCUUGCUCACGUCCUCCUCGACUCGAUCGGCUCCAGAGAGCUGGAUCGUCUCUUGUGAUAUAUAGAUCGCAAUGGCGGCAAAGGUCCCAAGAACGCCCGCUGGACUUCACUCCAGAUCGAGCUCUACCAGUACCCGUUCACCCCAUGAGAUUUGUCCGCCGACCGUCUCCUCUGCUCAGCGCCGCCCCCGCUGGACUCUCCCGCUCCCGCCUAGCGCGUCCGUCAACCAUGAUCGGGCUCUUCUCUAUCGGCACCGAUCAUCAGUAGGUCGCCGCCUCCCAACCCCAUGCAUCGAUCAUCCUCCACUCAUUGCUCCCUUCAUUGGCAGUUGCAGACGUAUGUUCUCGCUGUUCGUCAUGGUGCAGUGCUUAAGGUGUUCCGGGAGCCGCUGGCUGGCGCAGGAAGAAGCGUCUCGCCGGUUUACCACUCCAUCGCCUAUUAAUGGCACCACCAAGGUAUGUUGAUCGAGGUCGAGGUUCACACAACAUUGUGAAUUAGAGAUAGAGUCGUGUGCUUGGUGUAGUGUGGAGUGGCCUGUGACUCUGAACGUUGUUCCAGCUUUCCUUUUUCUCAUAUACUUCCCAAGCAGGUAGAAGAGCGUUGAUCCCAAUUUUCAUGUUCUAACCUUGCUAUGAGAUGUAGAAGAGCGUGAACUACAUCCUGGUGAGGUGAUGGCUUUUCAUGCAGGAUGCAGCAGCAGCAGCAGCAUGCAGGGAUGGAUGAAAGUAAGUAGCAGACUAGCAUUUUGCACGUCUUAUAGUUCUCCCUAAUUGGUGAUACGUUGCAUCAGUAACGUAUCCGUUCAACAAUCCUUCUGUUAUUGCUGCUGCUCCGGCCUAUGAAGAUAUCUGUCCAUGCAUAUCUUCUUGAUGGACAGACAUAAUAUCUUGGAUGCCCAUAAAUAUGUUAGAAAACAUGGGUUGUGGGAAUCACUUCCUUUUACUUAACAUAUAUUUACAUACAAGUUUUGGCUUUUAUAUGCUUCAACUGCAGUGCCAACUGGGUGAGACUUCGCGGCGAGGACAAGAGCCCAAUUGGAGUGUCUGAUAAGAAAAAAUCCCGACAUCAUUUAUGCAUGAAAAAAUAACUCUAACCUGCAUGAGCAGACAGGGCCAAGCAAAGGUUGCAUGGACGUGUGAAUUAGUAUACAAGUCUCCUAUAUAUGCUUCAAAGAAAAACUCUGAGAUCCAUAGAUGAGCUAGGUAAGUACAAAGCUACGAAUUUUCCUGUAGCUAUGUGAGUUUGUGAUGUUUUCCAUAUGUAUUUCCUUAAGACAACAAAAGCAUCCUACUUUUCAGUCUAUAAGUUAGUUUAUGAGUUGAUCCAGUGCCAAACACAGUUCAGUUGAACAUGUUUGUUACAAUAUUUUUACGACAUGAGCGUGAAUUUUGAAGAAGUAAUUGCCGGGUUAGAUCGAAAUAUUAUAGUAUGUCUUUUAGAAAACGUUUCUUGAAAUUCAGAAUAAUUCUUUGAAUUAUCAAUUUCUUUUGACAACCAAGAUAUUUUUUCAAAAAUGCGAACAUUGCUUUAGUUUGUGAAUAAAUUUGAAAAAGGGUACAUUUUCUUGCAUUUGUAAAUAAAUUUUAAAAAUCAUGAGAUGAGAUGUGAACAAAAUGUGGUCAUAACCACUGAAGAAUAUGAUUUUUUUCUCCCGUUGCAACGCACGGGCCCUUUUGCUAGUAAUAAUAAAGCACGGAUUGACUCUGUGGGUUCAUCGUCACUUUUCAUUAAUAAAGUUGCAAAUAAUUACCCACCACUGCCAUCCAUAGGUGAAAAAAAUGUUUCGCUAAAGAUCUAAAAAAAGACAUUAGAAAAAGAUAAAAAAGAGAAAGAGCUACCCGACCCAACCCUUCACGACCCUGCCUCCCAAAUCCCAAUCCCAUCUCGACUCCAGCGCGCCGACUUUCAAAAAAAAAAGACUCCAGCGCGCCGCCACCUCUUGCCCCGCCCGGCCGGCGCUCCGCCUCCCGUCGCCGAGCGCCGUCGCCCCUCCUCGCCGCGCCGCCGGACCGCCUACCGUCGUCACGCGCUGCCAUGGCCUACCUUGCCGCCCCGCCUACCCCUACCCCAAGUUCCCCCACACCCGCGCCCAUCACCGGCAUCCAUACGCGCGACCUGUUUCUCCGUUGCCGGGCGGCUGCAGGAGGUGGCCGGCGUCGCCCCGUCAUCAAAUCCCCUAGCCGCUUGGUCUCAUCCGCCGCAUGCUGGCUGCCCGUACAGGAUUGACGCGCCCUAUAUCUGGCGACCCGCGGCUACUCCUCCCAGCCCCGGAUCUCCUCUCCUGCCACCUACGACCCACGGCUUCAAUGAUCCACGACAAGGGAUGAUGACCAACUCGGCUGCCCCCUUCCCCGUGCAGCUGCCUCUGAGGCUGCAGCAGCCUUCGCACGAGGCCACUACGGCGCCACCUAUGCUGUCCUGAAGUUCCGUCAGAUUUGUCAAUUUCAGUUUCAUCAGUUUUUGUCAGAUUAAGUUUCAUCAGAUUCAGAAAAUUCAGUUUCGUCAAAGUUUCAGUUGUAAGUUAAUUUCUCGCGCACGUUGGCGCUCGGCGCUCGACGUCGUCCACUUCCUCACAUCACUCGAGCCCAAGUGCAUGCAGGUUACACCAGCCUUUGAUUUAUAUACCUACCGUAUGUCCACUGAUCAGUGACAUGAAGGUUGGGCGCUCUGAGCUAGAACAUAAGCUGAUUGAUGAGAUGAGUUAAAAUGCUUCUGAUUGGUUAGACCCUCAAUAUUCCAAACUGAAGUCCAAGGAAGAAGGAUCAGGAAUAGCAGGUACGAAGCCCAUGAGUUAUUUGUCUUACAGGCAUGCACGUGAACAAGGUUCUACAUAGUUCCAGAUUUCCAAUGGACGCUGGUGUUGUUGGCUGACAUCUCUGGGGUUGUACAUCAUGAUGGUUACCAAGACACGACAAUGAUCUAAAUGCUACAGACCUGAAUGAAAUACCAUGACCGCAGGUCGUUGCUUAUUUGCGUUCGAAGAGGUGCAGCAAAAAGUGAGAAGCAACUGAGGUAAUCGCUGAUUGAAAAAAAUACAUGAUGCACUGAUGGAUUAUCAUGUAUAUAAUGCCUGUUAUUGGAAAGACUGAUGUUUUGCUCUGAACUUGUUUGUGUUAAUUUUUGGAGAGCGGUUUUUUGUAGGACGGGCUACACGGUACCCUCUAUCAUAGCCGUCCAAUGUGGGCUUUAGUGUAUUUGGAUGUGUGCCUAGAUUUGAAAAUAGUGGACGAGAUGUCUCAAAUAUCCAUGGUCUGUCAGAGCUUGCCAGUAAUUAACAGAGGAGGAGCAGUGCACUCCUUGCUGCAGUGGUCAUAUGUUUGUCCGUGCACUUUCUCACCUUUAAAUGACAUCUUUUUUUUCACUCACGCACGUCACCUCUCUCUCUCUUCUCAUUUCUCUCACACAACACCUCUGCUCCUUCAUCUCUCACAUCACCUCUCUCUCACGAGAAAAUGUUAUAUGCUCUCUAUCUCUAAAAACAUGCUCUUUCUCUCUGCUCUCUCUCUCUCAUAGCACCUCUCUUCUGUCUCACAUCACCUUUUUCUCAGAAAAAAUACGCUCUCACAUCACCUCUCAUAAAAAAAAUGUUUUCUGUGUGCUCUCUUUCUCAGAAAACACACUUCUUUCUCUCUCUCAUAGCAUCUCUCUCUUCCCUCACGUCACCUCUUUCUCAGAAAAACACGCUCUCUCACCUCCCCUGCCCACCGCUUCCCUGGAUCCCACUCCCCCUACCAUAAUAUUCCUAUUUCAAGGCAUGCAAAGUGUUUGAUGAAAUUUGACAGUAAAAUUGUUUUCUGUGCUGGCCGGUAGAACGGCCGCGUCGCCAAGCUGCAGCGGGUGCCGCGGCGGACGAGGCGCCGCUUGUGUCGGAGCCCGAAGCGCCCGCGGAGCUGGCACGGUGGUGGCUCUGCUGUAUGUGGGAGCUCGGUUCCGUCCUCAACUUCCUCCACGUGCGUGUCCCUUUUCUACCAUCAUACCCUACCCCCAGCGGCCGGCAGAUCGGCGUACUGGGUUUGCUUCUUCGCUUAGGCUUCUAGGAAUUUACUGCUAAUCUUUAGUUUUCUUACAUUGACUAUUUGAGCACAUGGUACAGUAGCAGCAUGGCUGAUGCCUGCUAUUUCAUCGCUGGAACAUACUUCAUUCAUUGAUUUACUAGAGUAGAUUUGAUUGGCACUGUAUUUGAUCACAUGCUCUGCUUAGGCAAUACAUGUUGUUCAGCCAGCAUCUCUGGGAUUGGUUAUGUUGGAAACAAUUUAAUGCCAGUAUUGAUAUUCCAUUCACUAAACUAAUAGAGAUCCAAACUGCAGGUUGCAGAAGGUGAUGUACCAAUAGUUGCAUCACAUGGCUUAGUCCUGUACAUGAGAAUUGCUUGAUCAGAUAUUCAGAUUCAGUCUUAUCUUCAUAGUUUUUCUAAUUGUUCGAUCUUGUGCAGAGCUGAAAUUGAAUUGUACAAGGAGCUUGAACCAUCGACUCGCUUACUGAUCUUGAAAGCAAUAUGCGACAUACGUGUCGAGGUCCGUGCUAUUGCCAUCCUAGGGAGGCAAUGAAGUUUUUCAAAGUGCCAAUCUUUUAAAAUGUGCAUUGCGGUAGAGAACUGUUACACCAUUCUGAUGUUGUAUGUCUCAAUUGUGUUUUGUGUUAAGUAUAUCAAUCCUAACUUGGACUGACAGUUUAAACCGAGUUCCAUUAUGUUGAUUCAGAUUGUUAGAAAGCUUAUUUCACUAUGCUGAGAAGCGAUACAGGGGCAUAAAGCAAGCGAGCAGGUGUGUGCAGCGACCUGCUACUGCACUAAUAGCCUUGACAGAGCACCGGGGCCGGCUCGACAGGGCAUGCCGCCUGCCGGUGGACACCUGGAUGUGCGCGCCGGAGAUGGACCCGCUUCGUUGCCUCUGCAGCCUAGACAGAGCUCCGCCAGUGCUGGUGAUGGCGCUCUCCAUCUACUUUCUCCACCGUCUAUCAGAGAGUAGAGAUCAUAUCGUGGAUUUGUUUUUUCUUCAGAGACGUGCUCCCGUCGUUGUUGGCUGUCGAAUUUGCAAUGCAAUCCAUCCCUAUGUCGAUGUCUUAACCACUUCGUAUUUCGGCACAAUCCGCAGAACAUAGCAGCUGCCGCAAUUUACCCAUUGAUUUCUUGGAGUGAUCCAAACCUAGGAAAGCCUGCUACUUGUGCAAACAACAGGGUAAGAAGUUUCAGUUUUCUUACUAAUGCACCUCAAUUUGAAAGGUUAGAACAUUUUAUUCACCCGUCCUAUUUUUUAUCUAUACUGAUGAUCAUUUUUUCAUCUCUGUGAUCUUCUUUGCUCCAGUUGUGUUAAUACUUUGUUUGCACGUCAGUGGAAAUUAAAAUUUCUUGCUACCAUGAGAGUUACUCCAUGUCAGUAUGUACAUGCAGAUGUAAGCAAUGGAGAAACUCGUGCAGAUGAUGAUUGAAGCAUUCUUCACGAAUUUUCCAACCUAAACUGGCUACAGAGUUGGGGAAAAGACGAGUCUAGGCUCUUGAUGAACACAUCUUCUUUCCCAGAUGACUAACAGUUGGCACCUCUAUACAUUACAUCAGGCCAACGCUACAAAGCCCCUGUAUGCCUCUGCCUGCCUGCCUCAAUGGACAUUCCGGUCACAAAAAAGUAGAUAAAAAUACUAAUCAGUUUGUCAAAAUACAUGUUGGUUAUCUUAUGACCAAGUAUAGCUGUCAGCAGAGUACAAGAAAAUAUGUUUCAAUUUUUCCAUGAAGCAAACUUAUAUUAUGAUUAUCACAUUUUGAUCUUGGAGUAAUGGUCGACUUUAGUAGAUGUUACUGCAGUAUACACCAGUCCCCUAUUUCUACCUACAAGUCUGAGCUCCAUCGGAAUAAUCAGAUUAGUGUAUCACAACCUUGAUGUUUUUAAACAUGCAUAUUUUGUAGUUAUUUUAGUAUUAUGCAGAAUGCAUACCUAUCCCUCGAAUUUAUGUAUAAAUUCUGCAAUUUCUUGGCAUUUCAGGUUUGGGAAUAUUUGACUCAGAGCUUUUGCUGAAUGGUAUUGUCGUCCAGAAGCUAGAGUUCGAAAGGUAUGUCCUGGUGCUCCUCACUUUCUGGGAUGAUCAAUCUCCUAUUAUACAUGGCGACGUACACAGGACAAGCCCAAGCUAGCUGAUCAAAAGGCACACAAUCUGUGUAUGCAGCAAGAGUUGUUGGCGGCUAAAAUCAUGAAGCAACGGACUAACAAAUUGUGGCCAGCAUAUACGCAGGCGAAGAUAGCCAAUGUAUUUGCAUGUUUUCUUGACUUAGACUACAAUGCAUUUUCCAUGAAAUAAAUUAUCUUGCCAUCUGCUCUUUAGAUACAGACAUACAAUAGAUUAAAUGUAUAGACGUCGGCACAAAUUUCAAAUUUUGGGACGUAACCAAAAUAGUUGGCUAAACUUUGGGAGACAAAGAGAAUAAUUGUAGUUGUGUACAACGAGAAGCUCCCUUUCUUUUGAAAUCAUAGUCUGAAAUCAUACUAUAUAAGAGGGUAUUUUUGCAACAUGUGCAUUUUCUUACUUCCGAAAUCAUACUAUAUCUUCCCUAAUACUUAUAUAUAUAUAUAUAUAUAUAUAUAUAUAUAUAUAUAUAUAUAUAUAUAUACUAAUAAUAAAGCAGUUACUGUUUCUGGGCGUCCGUCGUCGCUAGCGAUUUUGCAUAAAAGUCCCUUGGUUUAUAAGAAAUUAACCCGCAGUCCCUGUUUUAGUAGGUCUCUAUAUAACAUUUCAAUUUUACAAAAAAGCCCCUCUAAUCCCGCACGGGCGCGAAGCGGACCGCGCCGCCGCCCGCAGCUCCCGCCUGCCCUCGCUCCCCUCGCGCCCGCAAGCUCCCGCCUGCCCUCGCUCCCCUCGCGUCCGCAAGCCGCCUCGCCGGCGACCCCACCCCUCCGCCACGCCCCGCCAUCGGCGACCUUCACCGCCAGACCUUCGUCUGCUUCGCUGCCUCGCCCCUCUCGCUUCUCCUCCUUCUUCUCAAUCUCCUCUCACCUCUCUCCCUCUUUCUUGCUGGACAGGGGCCUCCAUGGUGCCGCCGACCCUCAAUCUCGCCGGAUCCGGCCGCCCCCACGCCAAAUCCGCUGCAAAUGGAUCCACCCCCGGCCGGAUCCGACCGGGCCCCGCUGUCGUUGCCACCGGAGCGCUCCUCCUCCCCACCGUGGCACAUCCUCUCUAGGUCGCCGGAUCCAGUGCCAUGCCGGCCACGGCCAGAGUUGGAGGAGCUGUUGUCUACUACCUUUCCCUAAAGCGGUGAGCCCUCUACAAUGGAGACGACGUCGUCUCGUCGUGCACACCACGGGGGUUAACGGCGGAGCAGAAGCCCGCGCCCCUACUCCCCACCGCGCCAUAUCCUCUCCAGGUCACCGGAUCAGGCGGAGAUCCCUGCCAGCCGAUGAUGAAUCAUACCCUUCAUAUAUAUACAUCCCCACCCCCCUCAAGAGAAAUCUGGAGGCAAGAAUAGGUUUAAGUUCUCCCACGGCUGCUCUUCUAAUUUUUUACUUAAAUUAGGUAAAGAUUUGCUUGUUCUCUCUCUGCAAUUCAAAUGUGCUAGACGCUUGAAAUACUUAACCUCAUUUGGUUUAGAGAAAUAAAUAAUUCACCCAGAUAGUAGAAUACUUAGACGACUUUGAGAAACUUUGGUCAUUAAAACUGAGGAUAUAUGAGUGAGCAUAGAAGAACACAAGUCUAUUCAAAGCAACAGAAUGUAGUAGUUACUUAACAGGCCAGAUUAGUUUCUGUAGUUACCUAUUUUUGCUCUGUCAAAGUGUAAGAUAAUGUUCAUCUCAAUCCAAGAGGUGUAAAUGAUCAUGCCAUCUAAUAAUGGUAUCGAUGUUUGGCUUUGUUUGGCGACUGGAAUUUUCUAUUUCGAAAAGUUACUGGUGAUGGUACAUCAGAAUCGGCAAACUCUACAGGGUUUAAGCAAGUGGUACUAAAAAGUACUUCUAGAAAUUUACAAUGCCUAGGUGGUUUGAUGUUCCAUGUUCAUCACUUUUGCGAAUACUUUGAUAGGACUAAAUGAAUAACAGAACCCUUUGUGCUCUAUAUGAUUUACCGAGAGGAUUGGGCUAGGAGUUAGUUUAAUUUGUAUGUUAGGACAAAGAUGAUUCAGUGAUGAAAUUACAGUUGCUAAUUCAAUGUAUAGAUCCUACUCUGUACACAUUGACAUUCUUAUCAGCAAUUUAAUAUGUCCUAUCUUUUUGACCUCGGAACAGUAGGGGAGCCCCUAUGGUAUUUUAAUAUGACCUAUCUCAUUCGCCGUUAUUUCUGCUGAAGAUUAUUUGAAAUUAUCAGGCAGUGGCCCUCUUCAAGUCCUACUUUGGUGGAACUUUUGAUCAAGAUGCUAUCAGGAAUAACUUGGUGCUAAUAUACAAACUUCUUGAUGGUAAGGGCACAUCCAGUUUUGGACUUUGCUUGCUGCUUCACUUUCCACCAUGGAAUGUUUUUUGUUUGUAAUAUUGACUCUGUGCAACAGUGCAGAGAUUAUGGACUUUGGUUAUCCUUAGAAUCUCUCACCUAAAUUUUUGAAGUUAUACAUAACCCAGGAACGUGUACGGUCGCCAUUUUCCUCCAAGGUCAGGAGUAUAUGAAUAAUGAGUCUGCUGUAUUGGAUUUACAAAAAUAAUUAUGUAUGUUCCUAUUUAUUUUCUAGGUAAGUAACUAAAUCACAUAUCCUUUUCUCUAUAUUGAUAGCCUUCAGAUAAGCCUGUUCUAAAUGCGACCCUGCAAGUUAUCGGUGUUGUUGGUUGGAGAAGAGAUGGUAUUGUGUACAAGAAGAAUGAGGUAUUUGAAUUAAAUUGUAGGGAGGCUUCAGUUGUAUUCAGAAAAAAAACAUAGCACCAACAUUUAUAAUGGUCCUAGGUUCCUAUCAGAGCGGGGGCUACUAGCAAUGCCAUCAUCCUACAUACAUUUUAAAAUGCAUCUCAGUUCUAAUACAUAUUGUACAUGAACCAGCAUUCGUGUUAGAACAAUGGCCCAUAUUUUCCUCUGUUUUUGUUUCUUUGUUUUCUUUAAUGUCAUCUCAUUUUUACAUUCUGUUCUUCUCGCAUGUUAGGUUUUCUUGGACAUUAUUGAGAGCAUAAACCUUCUUAUGUCUUCUAAAGGGAUUUUAUGGACCAUCAAAUUUUACUUAUCUGGUCUGAGGUUUCUCGUGUCUUUCCUGUUCAGCUAUUUGAUGUCCAUUGUGUAUAUUUCUUACAUUUCUGCAGGGCGUGUUCUAUGAUGUGACGUGACUGGAAAGAUUCCAAUGAAGUGUUUCCUUUAUGGAAUGCGCCUAUCUGAAGUUGGGAAUAAAUGCCAAAAUUUAAAUGGCUUAGUAACAUCAUUUUUUCUUUGGGAUGUGUGUCUCCUAUUGAGUGUCAUGGCUAUUGGCAUUCUUAUAUUCAACAUAAAAAGGUAUUCAUAGCUUUUUCAGGCUAUUGGCAUUCUUAUAUUCAGCAUAAAAAUUAUAUUCAUAGCUUUUUCAGAGUACGCAUAAAUGCUCAAUAAACUAUUGCAUAGAAUUUUAAUUAAGCGACAUGUGAGAAUUUUUCUGGUUAUAACCUUUAAGAGGAAAUUAGUUUAUUUUGGUAGUAUUUUUCUCCUAACUUGAAUGAAUGCAAACUUUGUAUGUUAAGGUUAUAAGCACGCUUACUUGGAUGGUUGGAUGCACAAACCUCUAACCACAUUAGUGAACUACAGUGUCAUUUUUCUGGCCCUGUAAAAUUGUAAUUAUGCAUAUUCAAUGCGACAUUUGCACGCUAUAAUUCUGUAUUCGGUGCUAAUAUGCUCGCUACCAUGUUGGUCUUCUGAAGCCUUCAUCUCUGCAGGGUCAAACUUUUGAUUUUGGCACUUAGUAAACUGCAUCUUGUGCAUUGGAGGAGGUAGCCCCUGGACUGGUGAAGACGUGAAGGGCGACACGAGGAGGCUUGUGGUGGUUCCAGGAGCAUCUCUUCGACAAGUAGCAGUGCACUACGUUGGACAGCUACCAACCGAGACGGCCGGCUGCCUGACAAGGACACCAUUUCUGGUCUUACAGUCCUGGAGCGGUGAGCAUCUGAGCUUCCAUCACCGAUCUGAAUAACAAACUUGCGGCGCUCCUUAGCGUCACUGAUUGAAACAUUAGCAACAACAAUACUUGCUUCAGGUGUGUGCUCCUCCAAUCAAUAUAUUUACAACUGUGUGUCACACGCUGUUUAUUGAUGAAAUUCAGGAUAGACACCUUAGCGUCACUGAUUGUAGCAUUGUCCAUCUAAUCUUCCUUUUUCUGUUCAUAAUACUUGAUAUGUCUGAUUACUAGGCUUAAGGAGUAAAGAACGGCAAGCAUGGAUGACAGAGGGACAACACCUGCUCCAAAUUUGAAAAAUCCAGGAGGUUUACAACAGGCAUGCAAGGUCCUCGAAAAGUUCAAGUAAGUGCUAUACGUGACGUAGAGGAGAAUGCUAUAUAGGACAUGCACAUGUAGUUGCUGCUUCUAAAGAACGGCACAAGUUUAGACCAAACGCUGGGAGAAUACAAAAGGUAUAAUUGCAUAAAGUUUACUACUGUAAUAGAUCCAGGUUGCAGUGAUGAAGAGGACAAUGAUGUGUAGGACAUAGUGGUCGUUACUUCUAUAGAUUCAGAAGGAUGCAGGUUCGGAUCAAUUGUCAAGAUGAUACAAAAGGUGUUGCACAAAUUUUACAUACUACGUUGGGUGAUUUGUUUGGCAUUCAUUCUCUGUUAUGCCUGAUGCAUGUGUCUUAAGCCUACUAAUAACUUUUUGGAUCAAUGGUAAAUCUACUGAACAAACUCCUGUCUUAUCCCUAUUGUGUGUCUUAAGGUUAAUCUAUUCAUGGUUAGUUUUCCUUACUGUACAAAUAUCUUCUCUUUUUUGUAUAUUUUCUCUUCUCUGUCCUUUACGGUAAUAUAGACCGUGCUCACAUUGUUGCAGCUUGCAAUUAGUUCUAGAUUUGUUCAUGAGUGUCAUUCGAGGUCAGAGUAAAUAUUUUGGCAGAGUAAACAAUGAUGGAAGUGUCAUACAAUUUCGUCUUAUAUAGCUAUAACAAUUUUGAUACAUAUUUUUAUCUGAUUAACUUGCACUUCUGCACCACCAUAACAAGCGGUGGAGAUCUGCCUCUUUGUUUUCAAUUAAUGUGAGAACUUCUAGCCUUCUAGAACAAGAGUGGUAGUUUCUUUAACUUUGUGUUGUAACAAAUAUUGUAUAUGGUCAAUCCAGGAUGAUCUACUUAUUAACUUUGUUAAUCUGGUUACAGUCAAUCUAGGGGGUGCUUCUUUCGCUUCGGUAUUUAUCAGUAAUAUUGGUAGUUCUCUGUAGUACUCUGUAUUAGUUUUUACCUCUUUGUCCUUCAUGAUUGCUUAGUUGCAUUGUUUUUGCUUCUGACUAUACUGCUCUGCUACAGAUGAUAACGCCAUUUGAUAAACGUUUGGAAAUUCAAGCCUGGUCUUGUUCCGCAACAUGUGACCUUCUACUUCUUAAUGGACUUUAAGUUUUAGUCACCCUUAUAUAGUUAGGUAAUAUAACAAGGUUAUUGUUUAGAUCAUAUAAUCAAGCAUGUCUGCUUAUCGAAAAGUUAAGCUUUCCCACCUUGCACGCAACUGCUACCAUUAUUGCUUAGAAGAGGCAACUUAGUGAUACAAUCUCUUGACUAUAAUGCAGUUAGUGAUUGCCAUGUUUGUUGAAUUAAAGUUUCACCUGUCAGAUCAGUUUACACACAUUGAAUUUUACUUAGUGUGCCUCUAAGGUUUUACCUUCUACAAAGCUAUAGCACCUACAGGUGAUCCGCUUUUUCUUCUUCUAGAUCCCCCUGUGUGUGUAUAAUCUUCUUCUAGAUCCCCCUGUGUGUGUGUAUAAUCGACAGACAUUGUCCUUCUAAUUUCUUUUUCCAGUAGAUGAUUGUGGACAAAGUUUCCAAUCCAUGCCUUUUUGCUAUACUAAUUUUUUUGGGUGAUGCAGCAUAAGUUAUAUAAUUGCUGCACUUAAGUAACUGAUUUAUCUGGCAAUAGAUUGUCACAAUGAUAGAUCUAACCUUUGUGCCAACAGUCUGAAAAUUGUAGCAUUAUGCUUUAAUAUUUUUUAAUGUUCUUUAGGUGGUUGUUUCUCAGAAGUAGUACACUUGGCAUAGCUUUUCAGAAGACAACAGUUCAGUAGGAAGCAAGUGAAUGAAACAUUUUCGUUGUUUUCUACUCCAUAGUUAUGUACAAACACACAAGUGGUGCUUAAACAUUUUGUUGCUAUUUAUCCUUUCAUGAGCCGGAUGUGCC